rnacentral:lncRNA from 1 species
CAAUGGUAUGCCGCCACAUUUAUGUAUGAUUUUACUAGAGAGUUCACCAUCAAGGCUUUCUCCUUCCUGACUCUCUAUUCUUUUGUAGAACAAUUUCUUGGAGUUUGCAUUAGAAAGAGGUUUUAAUCUAUAAACCUCUUCUAAUUUCGUGACAAUCCCAAAAUUACGAGUAGUCAUGAUUAUUCUACUUCCACAAUUAUUGUCCUUCAAGGCAUAUCUGAUUGCUUCCCAUGAGUCAACAUCCCAUAUGUCAUCAACAACGAUCAAGUACCUAUAUAUAAUUGACACAAGAGUGUAGAGCUAUGAAGAACUUAGCAAAUUAAUUGGUCGCCAUAUAUAUAAACCUAUAAACGUUUGAACUAAAACUAGACAGAGAACGAAUGACAUGGGCGUACCUCUUGUCCUUCAAGAAUUCAUCCAGUUCGUUUUUAAAUUGUUCUAGAUCCCAUCUGGCCAUGUCAACUUGUUUAUACUCACGAUCAAGUUUCAAUAGCAUCUUCUCGAAUGUCCUAUUCAGAUUAGGAGUUCUACCAAUAGAAAUAAAAGCAGAACAGUCGAAUUGCUUCUUAAGCAUGUCAUGCACUGUUUUGGCUAGAGUAGUCUUACCUAGUCCUCCAACCCCGACUAUAGACACUAUCUUUAGAGCCUGAUGGGACUCAAGUGCAUCAUCAUCUUUGGUCUCCAUAGACAGCAUCCUAAUGACUUUGUUCCUUGACUUCUUGAUGCCAACGAGAUCUGUCUCUUUCUUGUACAGAUUGAUGACACGAGGGUCGAUGCCGGUGCUCGCGGCGAGAUCAGCGCCCACACCCCUUACCGUGUACUUGGCACGAAGUUCAGCUAACUCGUUGGAGAGUUUCUUGAUGUCUUUGACCUUGUCGGAGAUCUGGCGCCGAUCCUUGAACUUCUUCAUCGACAUCACGUCCUUGACCAUGGCAAGGGUCUUCUUGAAGAAUUUUGAGUCGGCGGCAGAGUCGUCACCACCAGCCACACGCAGGAUGAAAUCGUCGACGGCGUCCUCCAUGUCAUACGACAGGUCCCGGACCUUGCGUGCCCAAAGCUUUUCCACCUCGGUGAGCUGGUCAGGUGGAACCCGGGACGCGUCGAUGAGAGCGGCGUUCAUCAUCACAAGCUCCCUGGAGAGAGACUCGAUGUCGGGCUUGAGGCCCUUCUGCACGACAUACUCCUCCAUGAGCAGGUCGCCUAGCUUAAGGGCCAAGCUGGUCAUGGCCCCCAAGGCGAGCUCCAUACCUCACCACCUCGACCUUGUGUUUCUCUUGCUAAUUGCUUGGUACCUGCUCGUUGGGUGCAGAUAUAUUACAGGUGAGAGUGAGACUAGUGAUGUGGUGGUGGACGAAUCCAAAUGUCUUCACGCGCAUCUCGCUACCAUAAAACAAAUGGUAAUGACGGAGGAGCUGUCAUCACGCAUAUGGCUGGAAAUGACGAAGCAGCUGUGUAAGGGGCCAAGAAAGAUUAGGAAAAUAAUAAUAGUACAUGCUCGUUGGGUGCACAUGGUAGGUGCGUGCGACUACGGAUGUGGCGCAUGAAGAGCAACUCCGAGAGCUAAUCUAAAGUUAUUAGCCAAAUUCCAUAGUUUAGCUAUUUUGUAAAAUAGAAAACUCCUAAAAAAAGAAGAGAUCUAUAACAGCCUCGGUAUUUCUCAUCUUCGAUAUUGGAAAGAUGUCAGGUCACGGAACCACCACCAAAAUUUCACCUGCUCGGAUUUGGAACUCAUGAUUUCAAUAGACUGCAUAGAUGGCAAUUAAUUCCAUAGAAAUUACUUUCUCUAUUGCAAAUUGGACUCACCGGAGUACAUGUUGAGGAACUCGCCGUCGUCGGCCUGCUUACGCCGCAUUCUCCAACUAUGGCAGCCCCACUGACUCAUGUUCCUCCAUUUGCCUGACUCUAGGACAAUGGGAAGCGAGUAGAGGGCAUCACCGUUCGGAUCUCCCUGGCGCUCAGACAGCAUACCCUCUUAACCAUGUUUCUGGACACAAUGCCUCCGAUAGUGGGUGGCGAGAGCAGCGGCGGGGAACAGAAUGAGGCAAGAGACGACCCGACGGGGAAGCCAUAGGUAGCGGCGAUGACGGUGGAUGGAAAGAGGCAAGACACAACCUGGGAACCAAGAGGUGGCAUCGGUGCUAGCGUUGGCAGCAGCGGCGACAGAGGGGAGGAGGCGGGAAUCUUCCGUGUGCGUGUGGGAAGAAUCUCGAGAGCGCGAGAAGGAAUCGUGUGUGCGUGGGCGAGAAGAGCGUGCGGCUGGGAGAUGGCGAGUCCCGAAGGCUAGCCAAAGAUUUUUUUUCAGAUAACGAAAAAAAAAGUCCGGGCUUUCUCCUCGAAAUAGGUUAGAGACAACACAAAUUGUUAUACUACAGUAUUAUUUAGAGGGACACAUCACACUUAGGUCCCGUUUGUUUAGUUAAAAGUGAAUUCUAUUCUAAUAAUUAUAACUUAGACAAAACUAAUUGAGUUAAUAUAUUUAUUUAUGUAAUGUAUUUCUAUAUUAUCCUAAAUCAUAUCGGAUAGAUAGUUAUAUACUAUAUUUAUGUUAUGCAGAAACAAGUAGAAGGGUGUGCUAUAAAUUGUAUAUUAGAAAAGUAACAUGUAAAUCUAUAGAAUUAAUUUCUAUCUCUCGCCCCCAUGAAUUUGAAAUAGGCUUAUAUAUACACUUUGAAAGUUGUGGAAUGUCACAUUCUAAAAAAAUAGUCUAUUGUAUUAGUUAAAUUCCAAUUCCUCAAAACGAAGGAAAACAAACGGGCCCUAAAGGUUUUUGAAAUUUUUUAAAGCCACAAAGAUGAUUACAAGACAAUCCUAUUAGAAAAUCUCCAACCAAAAUUAACACAAAAUUGCAAGACCACCGAUUCCAGGCGACGACAAACAUUCUUUAUUAAAACACCAUCAGCUUCAUCCUUUUGUAGUUGAGCCCAGAAUUUAAGCCAAUGUGUACAUCUGAAAAGAACCUGCAGAUAAGUAAAACUUGAAAUAUUAUUAAAAACUAAGGCAUUCCUACUUAUCCAAAUAGCCCGGCAAAACACUGAGGCACUUGUAAUAAUAAGACACUUAGUUCUUAAAUCAAUACCGGUGAGCCACGUACUAAAAAUAUGACGAACAGACAUAUGGUGUAAGCUUUGUGUCCAGCUUUAAUAUAUAGAAAUUCCAAUUUAUUUUGGUUAGGUUAUCCUUAGUUAGAAUAAUCCCUUUAACCAAACACCACAAAAAGAUUUUAAUCUUUAGGGGUAAAUUCAAUUUCCAAAUCAGCUUGUGAUUAAACAUUUGACCGUAAUUAAUUAGAACCUGAUAUAUUGAUUGCACCGUGAAGAUGUUACCCUUUACUUAAAGACAUAUGUAUUAUAGCUCAUCGGGGUGAGCACCACCCGAUUAACAAGAUCAUACCACAUAGCUAUGUUCUGACCCAGAACAUCCUACGAAACGAAACAUUGAGGGGGUCGUACUCAAGAUAGAUGCAACUGUCUCACUUUUCUGUCUCACAAUAUGAUAUAGUGAAGGAUAUUGCUUCAUUAGUGGUUGGUCUCCCAACCACACGUCCUCCCAGAAUCUUAUUUGUUCUCCAUUACCUAAAAUGAAAGAUCCUAGGUUUAAAAAGAAAUAUUUCACUUCCAUAAUUCCCGACCAGAAAUGAGAAUCACCUCCUAAAGGAUACUUUUGACAAGGUGUGCCUCUUAAGGUAUUUAUUUCGCAACAUACUUUACCAAAGUCCAUCCUCAUUAACUAGCUUGAAAAGCCACUUACUCAGCAAGCAUUUAUUUUGUAAAUCUAAGUUCUUAAUACCUAACCCCCUUGAUCCUUAGGUUGGCAAAGGAUAUUCCAUCUAGCAAGCAUGUAUUUCUUCUUAUGAUUUUCACCUUGCCAGAAAAAUCUAGAUAAAAAUAAUCCAAUCUCUCGAGUACACCCCUAGGAACCUCAAAGAAAGACAGCAUAAACAUAGCCAAGGUGGUAAGUACCGAAUUAAUUGGAACAAGGCGACCCCCUCCUUUCCAACCUAUCACACCCGGGUUUCGGGGCACUAAGACCCAGACGGGAACGUAAUCACCAAGUGUGCUGGGACCGAGUCUCACACAUAUGAUGAAUCAUGGCACAUGAUCGAAUGUCACAUCUUUACUAUGUAAUAGUAGUUCUAUACAAAAUAAAUAAAUAAUUACAUUAUAAGGAGACAAUGGUCCAGCAACCCAAAGUUGAUUGGGAGACGACGACCUAGACCUCUCACGAACUCGUCACAGCAUCCUCCAUGCGUCUCAUCCUGCGGUACCUGUUCUUGACCUGUGGGGGGUGUGAGACAUCAAGAGUGAGCUCACAUACGUUCAUAGCUCAACAAGUUGUGGGGAAUAAUGUGCAUGAACUCGCCAAAGGUGGGAGCUCACGUGAAGUGUAAGGCUUACCAAAGAGGAUGGUUGAAGUUGAGCAUUGCUUUUAAAGUUGGUCAAAAUUUUAUUAGCAAUUACUAAGUAUAAGUAAAAUAUCAACCCAAUUAAGUAGUAGAACAAAAGUAAUAACAACACAUGCGAUGCAAUGCAUAUGACAAAUUGAAUUUAAGUUCCAUAAAUUAAUCAUGUGAGGGUCCGAGCUGCUCAUGACCGUGAGCACGACUAGUAUACUAGUUUUACACUCUGUAGAGGUUGCACAUCUUUACCCACAAGUCAUGUUACCCAUCUGCCACGGGGUUGUACGGGCCCCAUACACCUCUACCAAGGAAGCGAGGCAGGGUAACACUACGAGGCCUUUACAAAGUUCCACUAGCUUCAGAAAACCCGCUACAGUUUAUAGGAAGCUCCAGUGCAGGGAUCCCUCGCCUGACCGCCAUUGCAGCAAAAUCAACCCAAGGACCUCCCUACACUGACCACUCCCCUACUGCCAUUGCCCCUUUCGGGUAAAGUAGUCAUCCACUAGUUUUCCUAAUUAAUCAGCCAAGGGCGUCCCAUUAAACCCUUGUGGUAGCACUGUUUUCCCGGGUGGUCGCUCCAUGUUCCAAUUAACAUAAUGAUCUUAUCAUAAACAGUAAAUAACAACUGAUAACAAAAGUAUGAAUAAUGUGUAUCUCAAUGCCCAAAUCCACAUAUAGCACUAGCAAGUACUACCCAAAAAGUUCAGUGGUAAACAAGGCAUAAAGAUAGUCAAACUGGGGUAACCUGGUCCCAUCCAAAUUAACUUAUGCAAAUCAUUAUGAUUAAUCAGAACAUGACUGGGUAGAAAGAAGUGAUCAAGGGCACAACUUGCCUGGCACUUGAGAUUCCAGGUACCAACUUUGAUAGAAGACGCGGCCCGAUCUUUCGUGAGAUACGAUAACUUGAUUGAGUGGAGAUCUCGACGUUGAUGAUCCAAGGCUCCGAGCGAACGGUUCCUCGCAAUCACUACACCACGGCUACGUUGGUUAUCACUCGUGACACAUGAGUGACCUUGCCACGAAGGCUUAUCCCUGCAAACGCAAUCAAGAACACAAGCAAGAACAAGAAAGAAAUGCAACCAAAAUUGUAUUGAUUACGGAAUGGGGUCUCACAAACCGAUGACGGCGCCACUGUUCGAUGACAGAAUUGAUCUAAGCAAAACCCAAACCUAAUGUGGCGGCGUCUGCUGAAUAAAUAGAGUAUUAGGGCGUGUGUGACCCCUAGAUUCGCCCCUAAUGGGCUUCGACGCGAUACACGGCCCAAUGGUCCAACAGACAGUGUCGCAGCACCAAAACAGAAUCUGAACGCUGAAUUGUUUCGAUGAAUCCUAUUGACUCCGGAUGAAUUUUAAGGUGGAACCAGUUGAGUUGGUUAGAUAAUCUCUUUAUCUUUCCAACCAUAUCAAUUGCUUUGCAAUCGGAGUCCGGAUGCAUCUUGGGCGUCCAUUUUAGUGCAGACUGGUCCUAGACCCCGAGAUUGAGUCACAGCCGAGUCAGACUUGAUCUCCUUCCUGUUGUGGGCGCCCUUGCUGCUCCUCUUCAACACCUUGGCCUUUCCCAAGUCCUUGCUGGUUCUCUCCAAGGUUCCUAAUCAUCAAAACAUCCAUGGCCCCAAGCAUAAGCUUCGAAACACAAUUGACUAGGGUAGAACGUACCUGGAGAUUUAGCUGUCGUGCACGCGAUCGUGUUAUCAGUCCAUGCAUUGUAUGUAUAGAAGUGAUGUCCUCAUCAUCCUCCCCCUCUUGAAUUGGAGUCGUGCUCGACUCAAUCUCAUCUUCGUCACCCAUAUAUGGCUUCAAAUCUGAAAUGUUAAAGAUGGGACUAACCCCAAAAUCUGGAGGCAACUCAAGUGUAUAUGCAUUAUCAUUAAUUUUUGCAAGAACUUUAUAAGGACCAGCAGCUCGUGGCAUAAGUUUAGACUUUCUCAAAUCAGGAAACCUAUCCUUUCUCAAAUGAACCCACACCAAGUCACCAGGUUCCAAUUUCAUUUCCUUCCUACCUUUAUUAGCAGCAAUACGAUUCUUUUCAUUCAUCUUUUCAAUUUGCAACUUAGUUGUUUCAUGUAACUUAAGAAUGAAUUCAGGACAUUGUGUAGCAUCGAAGUUCACUAUUUCAGAAGUUGGUAAAGGCAACAAAUCAAUUGGAGCACGAGGAUUAAAACCAUAUACUACCAUAAAUGGACUAAGCUUGGUUGUGGAAUGAAUUGAUGUGUUAUAAGCAAACUCAAUAUGUGGCAAACAUUCCUCCCACAACCUCAAAAUAUCCUUCAAAACAGCCCGCAACAUGGUAGAUAAAGUGCGAUUAACAACCUCUGUUUGCCCGUCAGUUUGGGGAUGACAAGUAGUAGAAAACAACAACUUUGUUCCCAAUUUAAACCACAAGGUUCUCCAAAAAUGACUUAAAAACGUAGCAUCCCUAUCAGAGACAAUAAUAUUUGGCACACCAUGCAAACGCACAAUCUCAGUGAAGAACAAAUCAGCAACAUGUGAAGCAUUAUCAGUUUUGUGACAGGGUAUAAAAUGUGCCAUCUUUGAAAAAUGAUCGACAACGACAAAAACACUAUCACUCCCCGUCUUUGUUCUAGGCAAUCCCAAAACAAAAUCCAUAGAAAUAUCCUCCCAAGGUGCACGAGGAACAGGAAGAGGCAAAUAAAGACCAUGGGGGUUAAGUCGGGACUUAGCUUUGUUCACGUGGUGCAACGAGAGACGUAGCGCUCAACAUCAUGCCGCAUCCAAGGCCAAUAGAAAUGAGUAAACAACACUUUCUCAGUCUUCUUAACACCAAAAUGUCCCAUCAAGCCACCUCCAUGUGCUUCCUGCAAGAGUAGAAGACGAACGGAGCUAGCUGGAACACACAACUUGUUAGCACGGUAGAGAAGGCAUUCACGCAGCAUAAAUUUUUGCCACGUUCUUCCCUCUCUGCAAUUUUCAAAAGCAUCUUUGAAGUCCAAAUCAGCAGCAUAUAAUUCCUUUAUAGUCUCUGUCGGAGAGGAAAUCUCCGGUCGGGUCGCGGAAUGCAUCCGCCCUAAAUCCUAAGAUGAGGAGGGGCCUAAGCAUUUUGCCUGUUAGGUGGAAACGGGAAGAACACAAGAACACACAAGGAUUUAGAGUGGUUCGGGCCACCGGAGCGUAAUACCCUACUCCAUUGUGUGAUGUAUUGAGCUUGAGAGCUUGUAUGAACUUGUGAGUGUGAGAGUCUAAGUGUGUCUGCCUUAUAACGUUACGUGCCUCCCCUUUUAUAGCUCAAGGGGGCAUGUACAAGGGUGCUGAGCCCCGACAUGUGGGCCCAGGAACAUAACGGAUGUAAUACUUGGAGCAACUAAUGAUGGUCGCCAGUGCAAUCUCCUUGCGCCUUGAUAUUCGCGGUUUGCGUAGCAUUGGCGUGCAGCGGAAGCUUCCCUGGCAACGUACGAGUGAUGAUGAGCACAGCGUAUGCCGCAGCACGGGCGUACUGCCUGCCACCGGAAUGGGCAGGCACGCCACCUGCAGGAUGGCCUGGUCGCCGCCCGUCAGCAGAGUGGACAGGGCUCAUUUAAUGCUGAGGUGGCACAUCGCCUGCCAGUGGAGUGGACAUGGCUCAUUAAAUGCCGAGGCGGCACAUCGCCUGCCAGUGGAGUGGACAGGCGGCGCGGCUUAUUCGCAAUUAAUGCAGAGGCCGCGCGGCCCAGAGGCCUUACGUCACGCUCCGCCCGCAGGCUUACGUCACGGGCAGUGGGCCAUGUGGCAGCAUCAGGUCUCCGCCUGAGUGGGGAGCAGAAGCGUACACGGCAUGGUCUGGACACGUGUCGGCUCCGGACCCCCGCCUGGUCUUGAUUAAGGUCCGGGUACUCUUUGUCCCAGAAUCUGGGGACCCUGCCGUGAGUGGCCUGGACCCCACACAAAGGGGUCCGGGACCCAUACCGGGGGUCCGGUUCGUGCCCAUGGGGGUCCUGGACUUUACUCGGAGGUCCAGUCCGUAUAUACAGGGGUCCGGCACUUCCCAUGGGGGUCCGGACCUACUGACGAUACCUUGGAGGAUAUCGUCUUCUCUGGCCACGUGGCGGCCCUGGAGCUGCCCGCGUGGUGGGGUCGGGCGUUGUUUGCCACGCGACUAGAGAUAGCCGCGUGGACUCCGCGCCUUCAUACUAUAGUAAGGGGUACCCCUGUUCCAGGGUACUGACAGUGGCCCCCGGGCCUGCCUCAGGUGAGGAUACGAGCCUGCAGUUGGGGCCAAAGCUUGACUGGCGUUUGGUGCACCGCUUCCGUGCAUUUGCUGACGUAAUCACUGCCAGUCUGCCUUCGGACACGCCAACUGCCACGUCUUUCCCCGCGGCUGACUGACCUGCGGCCCCCACGCAUGAUAGUCUCGCCGGGCCAUGCACGAGGCGCCUCGAUACCGCUGCAUAAGUUUGAAAAAUUACCUUCUCUGUCUUCUGCGGCGGCCUCGAGGAGGUGCAGUACUGGCGCAAGCGGCGGUUCACUCUUUCUGUACCCAGAAACCAACGCCCAGGGAGUAUGGCUCGUGGGCCCGGGCCCCGUGUCAGAGACUAGGCCGUUGCUUCCGAUGGAGAUGGAGAGGCGCACUACCGCGGGUGGCGGUUUGCUUAUCGCGUGGCGGUUCGCCUUCUCAGUACUCGGAGACUCGCACACCAGCUGUAUGACUUGUGGCCCCGGGCCCCGUGUCAGAGGCUGGGUCGCUUUGGUGCGCGCCGGGCGAGAUGGGCGCGAGCGGGAGAGUCUCCCUUGAAAAGGGAUUCUCCCCGCGUGCAGCAGUUACGCUUUCGCAUUCUCUCUUCUUGCUGUGCCCUUUCGCCUUCGAGCUUUCUGCGCCCCUUUGCAUUCACGCUCUCCUGCUCCACACCUGCGCCACCGCCGACGCCAUGACUUCGCUUGGCCAACCCGACCGCUUCCAGACUGAGAUGACGCUCGAUGUGGUGCGCAACCUACUUGGAUGGGGUGCGCCGGCGCUCGUCGGGAGGAUCCGCGUUGGCGCCGUCCCCCUCGGUGACCUCGCCGCUGGGGAGUUCAUUUUGAUCACCUCCUACAUCUCCUGCGGGUUGGCGCUGCCAAUCUCGCGUUUCUUCCUGAUGUUGUUGGAGGAGUUCGGCCUCCAGCUUCAGCACCUCACCCCCACUCCAUCCUCCAGGCGACCAUCUUCGCCCACCUGUGCAAGAUGUUUGUUGGGGUGGCGCCCUGCACCUCCCUCUUCCACCAUUUCUUUGUGCUGGUGAAGUCGGGGAAGGCGAAGGACCACCUCGGCGCCUACUACUUCCAGACAAGGUCGGAUUCGGCUGGCUCCUACAUCCCCUUCCUUGGUGGCACAAGGUGGGAGAACUGGCGCGACGAUUGGGUGAUCGCUAGCGCGGAGGCCAACGACCGCCUCGCCCUGCCGAGCGACGGGCCAAGACUUCACCGGAAGCAGUGGAGGACCAAGCCAUCCCUGGCGCUGGAGCUCCAGCUCGUACUGGACAGGAUUAAGAGCUUGGCGGCGGGUGGCCUGAUGUCGAUGCACGUGGUCGGUGAUUUCCUGAAGCGCCGGAUCGCACCGCUACAGCAGAGGGCGCGUCUAUGUUGCUGGUUCACCGACUCAAACGACAUCGGCCGGAUCUAGCAUGGGCCGGGGAUCGACCUGUCCUAGGAGGAACUAGAGGUUCUGGUGAAGGGGAUUACUGGUGAGUCCUUCGUCCCUGAGUCUCUAAUCCUCCCCGAGGGCAUCCCUGCGCUCUGCGACGAUGCAGGGUUGAGGUCGGUGAAUUUGGCCACGCUGCCGACCCUCGACGAGUGCGGCGUCGCGGUUCGCCAGACCGGCGGCAGGGACCCCCAUCGCGAGAUCCAGAUCUCUGAUGCACCGGUUGGAGGCCCCCAGACUGCCGGCGUGGCCCCCAGCGCCCCCGCCGGAGCUUCUCACGUCCCCGCCGCGGCCCCCCGCCCCUUGGAUAAGGGCAAAGGGGCUGCAAGUAGCUCCUCCACCCAAGCGGCGCUGAGACGUUGGAGGAGGAGAGAAGACAUCGGCUACGCCGCGCCGAUGGAUCGUUUGUCUCGGACCCCCCCCCUCCCGUUGGGGUCGAGGAGGCCGGUUCCCAAAAGCGUCAGAGGACCACUAGCGGGGUCGAGGAGUCCGGCUCCUAGGCCUAGGGCACGUAGAGGCGCGCUAGUCCUCCGCCACCACAGCCAUCGGGUCCGCCGCCACCACAACCACCACCAAUGUCGGGCUCGCCGCCGCCAAUAGCACCUGGGGAUUGUCUCCCCUAGGGGUACCAGCAGCAGCAACAACAGUAGCAGAAACAGCGGUCGCCCCGCUUCCAGGGUCGCUGGAAGGUCCAGGGCCCCAAGUGAGUGGAGCCCCUUUCUUUUUGAUUAGUCUAUUUAACAUCCCGACAGGUCUUAACCCAUCCUUUGCUUGUCAGGGCUUCCUCCCCCUCUGCUCCUAAGGUCGUGCCUCCACCGCCCCCGGCUGCUACCGCCGAGACAGCACCGUCGGCCCCCCAGGCUCCAGCUAUGGGUCUGGCUGCGGUGGCGCCAACACCAAGUGGUGCCGCAGCGGGGGAGGGGGUCCCUACUGCCCCGACGGCAGCUACAGCCUCAACGACGGUGAUGCCGUCAAGUACAUCGUCGGCAGCGGCAGAGGAGGCCACAGCUGCGCCCGCCGCCGCUAUCGAGGUCGACGCGGGGGGCUCGUCCAGUUCCAACCUGCCACCCACUUCGAAGGAGACGGAGGUGAUUUUUGGGCAGUGACUCCAGUUCGGCGCUGAGCCAGAAGAAGCGCCAGUUCCUCUCCCCUGGGUGCUGUCCCGUGCCCACCAUGCCCUCCAAGAGACUGAGGCGGCGAUCCUGCAGGAGUGGGAGGCGCUUGAGGCGGAACACCAGCGACUAGCGUACCCAGCUGGAGGAGCGCACCAAGGCAGCGUCCCGCCAGUUCGCCUUCGAGCGGUACGAGCUUGAGCGGGACUACAAGGACUAUAGGAAGGACCUCCAGAAGGUGUUUGCCCGGGAGCUGGAAGUGACUCGGAAGGAGAAGAGGCUGGCCAAGAAGGAGGUGCACUUGGACCAGAGGGAGAAGGUCAUCUCAGAGCUCCAGGCGAAGCUAAAUGCCUACAACAAGAUGCUGGAGGAGCAACGAGAUCAGCAGGCCGUAGCUGUGGAGAACUUGCGGAAGGUGCAACAGGGGCUUGAUGAUAGGGCCAGCAGCCUUGCCUUGGCUGAAGAGAACCUCAAGGAGAAGGAUGCCUCCCUGGAUAAGCGGGCGGCGGAUCUCGCCUGGCGGGAGAAGGACCUCACCUUCAGGGAGGAAAUGCUUGAGAGGCGGGAUAAGAUACUGGCCGAUCAUGAGCUCGAGGCGGAGGAGAAGGAGCGGACGCUAGAGGAGAAGGAGAGGGUGCUAGGGGAGCGAGUCCACCAGUUCGAGGUGGCGCGGGCGGCACAGACAGCCCCGGGCCCUCAGGCGGUGGAGGCGAUGAGGAAGACACUCAAGGAUCUCCAAGUGGAGCAGCGCGCCGGGGUCCAGCGCAUUGCCGCAUGGGCCGACGAGGCGAGCACGACACUGGUGCCGCUAGGAGUGAGUCCCAUUCCGGUGUCGCAGCCACCGAUGUCCAUCUCCGACGCGCUCCCUGUGCUGGACUCCGCCGCCGACCGCCUCCGACGCCUGGACCAGAUCCUGGGCGCCCUUCUGGAGGCCAAGGGAGGCAGACUCUGCCGGGCGGUAGUCGAGUACGUCCUGACGUGCUUCUGGAGCCACGACCCGGCCAUAUCCUAGGAGCCGGUGAUCGCUGGUCCAGAGGUCGACACUGAAGACGCUGCCCGAGAGGGCAUUAAAGAAUAAAGACGCUGUGGAGCUGGUGGCCGAGCGCUUCCAGUGGGAUCCUGCUGAUGAUGAGUAGCCGAAUCUACAAAGAGAAGGCAAGGGUCUCGCUGGAAAGCGACUUGUAAUAUUUUUUGGUCUUGUAAGGUACUUUUGGGAAGUAUUAACAUAACAGUGACAGAACUUAUCUGUAUGCUAUUUGCCUUUGCUGUGUGUGUUUGUUACCAACUUCUCCUUGGUACCUGGCCCCCCUAGUAUGUAGGCUCGACAUGUCGAGGCUGGAUGCCAGUAUACUUAAGAAAAAUUCGUGACCUGACCCCCAGGAGGUAAUCUCGACUGGGACCCAGACCUACACACAGCCUUGGCUAGGAAGCUUUAGUAGUGCGCCCAUAAGACCCCCACUAACUAGUAUCUUUUAUCCUUUGAUACACGCAAUAGGACCUGCAGGAUUUAGACCAGGAAGCCAAUCCGUGUGUCCGGACCCCCUAGAUCACAGCUCCAAAUACUAGGACACACGUCGCCUAGUGGUGGAGCGCGUAGGCUUAGGGUAUGGGACCAGGCUAAGCGACCACACAGCUCUGGACCACCCCAGGGGACGGGUGUCCGUUCUCUAGAACCGGACCCUCGGUUGACGGACCCACAGGACUAUAGUUCCGAAUACUAGGGUACCCGUCAUAGGAUGGUGGAGUGUGCAGGCUUAGGGUAUGUAACCAAGCUAAGCGGCUACACGGCUCCGGACCACCCUAGAAGUCAAGUACCCGUUCUCCAGGACUGGCCCCCAGGCUGCCGGACCCCCCUAUCAAGGGGCCCCAAACUACAGGCCUGGCUACUCAAUUCGAAUGUCCACAUACCAGCAAGGGUGGGUACUGUAUGGGUGGGUUAGAUGAAAAAUGAUGCUCGUAAGCUGAAGCAAAAUUAGACUACCACAAAAACAAAUCUGGGGGCGAAUCUUUUCUUUAUAACUUGAUAUUCAUGAGUGCAGGCCAACAGACCGGGUUUACGAGGGCGGACCUCACCGGGCUGGCGUACAUAUAUGCGCCACUUAGUUACAAAGGAAGAAAACUGAAUCCUCAGGUUUGUUUUUAUGGGAAAAACUUAUGGAGAUGCUCUAUGUUCCAAGGAUUGGGAAGAGGCUCUCCUUCGGUUGUGGCAAGGCGGACACACCCGGGUCGGCAUAUUUCCGUUGCCUUGAAGGGUCCUUCCCAGCUAGGGGAGAGUUUGUGGAGCCCUUCUCGGUUCAGUACUCGCCUUAGGACCAGGUCCCCGACCCGGAGCUCCCUACUAUGCACGAACUGUUGGUGGUAGCGCCUGAGCGCUUGGUUGUACCGUACAUUUCGGAUCGCCGCUUGCCAUCUGCGCUCGUCAAUGAAGUCCACGUCCUCUUGUCGUAGCUUUUUCUGCAUAGACUCAUCGAAAGCCUAGACCCGUGGGGAGCCCAUAAUGAUUUUCGGGGGAAGGUAGGCUUCGGCCCCGUAGACUAGGAAGAACGGGGUCUCCCUAGUAGCUCGGCUGGGUGUGGUCCGGUUCCCCCAUAGCACUGACGGAAGCUCGCUGACCCAAUUUGCACCAUGUUUUUUCAAGCAGUCAUAGGUGCGCGUCUUGAGUCCCCUGAGGAUUUCUGCGUUUGCCCCCUCCACUUGGUCGUUGCUCCUUGGAUGAGCCACGGACGCAAAGCAGAGCUGGGUGUCGAUGCCCUCGCAAUACUCCUGGAAGAUCCGACUUGUAAACUGUGACAGAACCUCCCAAGUCAUUAGGCCCACCUACAGUUGUCCUUGUCCAACGGACUUCAGACAACCCUGCAGGUGCACCUGAUCACUUGACAAGUUCGGUAUCUGAGUUCCUUACCUUUCCCAAGAGUGUUUCACCCGUCACGCAGACAUUACAAGACAUCAGAGAUACGAAAGUGUGGAAGUAGUUACAAUAACUUACUUUUAUUGAAAAGUAAGACAGAGUUAUAUAGUCACAGACCAUAACAAAAUAUAUGAGUGCUGAGUAUUAUUAUUACAAAACACGGGAGACAAAACCCCUCCCGAAUAAGUAGUAAAAAGUUUUUCUUAAUGGAGGACCUUUCCUCCCGCAGCUUUAGUCUUGGUUCUCUUCUUUUGGUACCACCUUUGAAUAGAAGCAACAAAAGUUUGCUGCUUCCUCACCUAAAACAACAUGGGACAAAGCCCUGAGUAUGAAGUGUACUUUCGCAAGACUUACCCGACAAAGUAAAAGACUCUCAAGGAUAUGCUGGCUUUAAGGGAGUCAAGGUAAGGCUUAUCAAUAAUCAAUGACUCUGUUUGCAGAAAUGCUUACUAAUAGUGGAUCCUUAAAAAUCCAAUUUUAUUUGUCAGGUUAAGUAAAAUUACCUGCAACUAGAGUUCAUUCUACCCUAGUUCAAUCACUUGACCUAUACUAGCCAACUUCUUAACAACCCUUCAUCUUCACUGGAUUGCUACGUGUAAGUCAGUGACCAAGUCUUCAUGUCCGUGAAGUUACGGCGAUCCGAAUCGAUUAUACUCAGCUGAGGAUCUUCAAUCACACGACAUAUGUAGCACUUAACCCUUGCAUAUGUCAACUCGCCACUGGGGUUCUUAAGACCAGAUCAGGUUCACGCCAACCGAGAGCACAGAUACACCACCGUCCAGCCUCUUGCCACGGAGGGUACACGCUACUCUCGCCAUCUCUUCACUCCCAUUGCAUGUUAUCUUAUUUUGGUAUUAGUCUGCCUGAAGCAAAGCUUACCCAUGACGAGGCAUGUGACCAGUUAAAGGGUCCUCGGUCAGCAGGCCUACAUCGACACGGUCCUUAAUCGACUCAGAUGGAGACACUACACCGAGACUCUCUUCUCGUGCAAGUCACCCGCCCGGUCUUAGCUUUAUCAUUUCAACCCAAAGUUUGGUACCUGGUAGAGGUACAUCUUUUCCGAUGUUGAAGCCAUCAUGGCCAUGAUGGAUCCACCAUCAAGUUUUGUUUUUGAAAACAUCCCACCCAUUUUGAAGCAUCAUCUUUUGUGGAAACAAAACAUUUUUUUUAUCUAGAGCAAAGCUAAGCAUAAGAAAAACCUUUUGUAAAACAGAGAUUAAGGAGAAGUAAUCAAUUCCAAGGAAGGAAAUGCAAGAAUUGGUUUAGCACACAACUCCUAUCACCUAAUGCAUCAAGCAAGUGAGAAAGAUUUUAAAAGUAACAAGGAGGUGGCAAAUACACCGAGGCUUGCCUUGUGUUACUGGUGAAUCAGGCUCUGUUCCGCAUAUAUCAAAAUAAAAACAGUUGUCUGCCUGAUGUUCUUCAGGUGGUGGUGGUGAUGAAGUCCUUGUCUCUUCAACCUCUACUUCCUCCUCAUUUUCUAAAUAUAGCCAAGUAUAAUAAUGAAUGCUUAUGUAAUGCUCAUGAAUAUGCAAAGAUAAUAAAAGUUUAUUAUCUAAGGUCUUGAAUACAACUUUCCUUCACGGAUCUCCGAGAACUUAGGGUUUUCGGAGUCAAUAGUGAAGUUCAUAGAGUAGGGGCUAGGGUUUUGGGUUCUAAGUAUCAAACAUGGUCCAAAUCAUUCCAAACUUUACCCAAUGCCUCUAAAUAUUAUUUAGAGUUUUCCCUAAAAGUUUAGUGAAUUUUGGAUUUAUUAUUUAUUCCCUAAAAAACCAGAAGCAUGGCCUUUGGCUGUUUUAAAUACUCUAUAAUUUCCUAUUUGGACUAAAAAUCAUGAAACUAUUUUAAUUAAAUACUAUAGGAAAUUGGAAGCCUAGCAAAAUUGGUUUGGGAUUUUUAGCAUUUUUCUACAAUUUUCUUGAAUUUAUUUAGCUUUGGCAGAAAAGGAAAAAGAAAAGAUAUGAACAGUAACCGGCCCAAGUCAGCCCAACAUAGGCAGAAGCGCGCCCGCGCGCGCGCCCGCAUGCAGACUUUGCAAAUAGGUCCCUGACAUUAUGAAUAACUGAAAGCGGGUUCGCAAUACUAUUUCUAGAGUCACUGACACUUUACAAAAACCUCCGCCAUGUUUUAUUUCUUCGCAGGUUGAGGUCCACAACGGUGGACAGCGCAUGGCCGAGCUCCGACGAGCUUACACCGGCCGAUUCACUUGGCCAAGACCGAAUUCAAGACCCACCGAUCGUUUCCCCUCACUCAAUUUCACUAAUGAGACUCUAAAUCAUCCUAUCCACGGAGACAGCGCGGACAAUGGAUGAACAUGGGCGUUAUUGGUGAUCCAGGGCGGUCUAGUUCAAUUGAAUUGGUCGAGGAGCUUGAGGAGGACUUAAGGAUGCUAGAACAAAAGAGCAGGGAGUACGAACAGACCUGGAAUACGCUGAUCGCGGUGAGGGCUCUUUUACGGUGGUGGAGAAUAGAUUUGGGGAAAUGAGAAAUUAGCGAGCUGUGGUGAACAAUUGGAGGCACGACUUGGUGGCUUGGUGCGUGAUUACCCUACGGACUCGACGAUGUGCUCAAUUUAUAGCGUCCGCGAGCGGUGGCCGGUGAAUUGGACGAAGACGCGCGGCGGCCGGAGAGGAAGAGGGGCACUGGCGCAAGCGCUUAGUGGCUUUCACCGCGGCGGACCCUCCGGCGAUCACUGGAUAUGCCUAACACGACUAACCGCGACGUGGUAAGACGCCUGGGCAUGUGGCAAACGAUCGACAGGAUGCCAACGCCGGUGAGCUUAUCUGCGCUGGCCGCAAGACAAGGGGGUACGGCGGCCAGCCACCGGAGUUAUCCCCAAGCGAAGAUCUUUUUACCUAGGAGCAUUAUCCGGUCACCGGUGAGCACGAAUCGCAACGGCGGCGUGGAUCUAGGCGCACGAUCGCCGGCGGUCAGGUGCGCUGCAGCAGCGAUCUUGUUCAGGGCACUGUACCAUUGGAAUCCCCUAUUCAGUCAGCCUGACAGAUCAACUUUGAGUUCAAUUUUCUCCUAAAUUUACAUGGCAACUUGCUGAUCGGCUAGUAGCAAAGUUGUUGUCUAAUGAUCCGUUUACAACCUUGCUAUAGCAACCACAACCAAACUCUCACUAGAUCAUGGUUGAAUUCCAGUUCAAAGAUGGCUCAAUCACACUGUCAGUCCGAUUUCAGACCUAAGACAGUCUGACAGCUCGACUUUGGGUACACUUUUCUCCAAUUUCUGUUUAGUACCAGUGCUUGUAACUUAAGUAAACUUGUUCUCCUAUCAUAGCUCUACAAACUUGAUGUGGUGACCUAGGGCAAAAACCUUAUAACUUGGAAGAUACAAGCCUUCAAAGUUGAGCCAAUGUAUUGAAAUUCAGGCUUAGCCAAUAGAGUUCAAAUAGGGCUUUUUGCAAAUAGGUCCAAAUCUCAAGGUUUAUGUUGCAAAUCCACAUACUUGUGAACCAUAUGACUUAAGGUGCCUUAAUUUCAUGGUUUUUGCACUUUAGUCCAAAAGUGCACUAAUUUUGCACUUAGCGUCCUAGGGUUUAAGUCUAGGGCUUUCUAGGGUUCUAUUUAGGGUUUUUGGUGACUCUAGGGUUUGGAUGUUGUUUAAAUUCAUCCAUGGUGACAUUUUAUGACCAUCUUAAUUGAGUUUUGAAGUUUUUUCCUUAUUUAGGCUUUGUUUGCUCUUUCAACCCAGUUUAGGGUUAGGUACCCUACCCUAGGGUUUCACUUAUAACAUGUCACAUCAAUACAACUUGUUUGAACUUUUUGCAUAGUGAAUGCAUUCUAAAUGUAACAAUCACAUGAUAUGCCAAUGCUUAUGAUGUCAUGCUCAAGUUUUAGUGAUAGUAACACCAGGGGUGUUACAUCGUUCCCCCCAUAAAAGAAUCUCGUCCCGAGAUUAAAAGUCCUAGGGCAAGUAAUGGAAAGGGAAACACGACAUAUCUUUAUUUCCUUAUUUUUGGUACAAGGCAGGGAUGGUUUGGGGCUCAUUCCCCUUAUUACAACAAAUGUGCAUACUUUACAAAUUACAUGAGGCUAAAAAGCCUGGGAAAUUCUUUUCCAAAAAGUCUUGAGCUUCCCAAGUAGCAUCAUCUUCUGUAUGUUGGUUCCACUGUAUCUUGUAAAACUUGAGAGUUUUCCUUCGGGUAAUUCUGUCCUUUUGAUCCAAGACUCGAACAGGAUGCUCGGAAUAUGUCAAGUCUGGUUCUAAGGCAACAUCCGUUACUUCAAUGGUUUGAUCGGGAACCCGAAGACACUUCUUCAAUUGAGACACGUGGAACACAUUAUGUACUGCAGACAAGGUUUCAGGUAACUGAAGUUGGUAUGCUACUGGUCCACAUUGUUCAAGGAUAGGAAAGGGACCAAUAUACUGGGGUGCAAGCUUCUCUUUUACCCCAAAACAUGAUACACCCUUCAUUGGUGAAACUUUCAAGUAGACAUAAUCUCCAACUAGAAAGUACAAGGGUAUCCGGCGUUUGUCUGCAUAACUCUUCUAUCGGGCUUGGGCUUCCUUCAGAUUAUGAAUUAUUCGUUGAACUUUCUCUUUUGUCUCCUUUACCAUAUCAGGCCUGAAGAAAUUUCUUUCACCUGGUUCAGACCAGUUUAACGGAGUACGACAUCGUCGUCCAUAUAAAGCUUCGAAGUUGCCAGCUUAAUGCUUUCUUGAUAGCUAUUAUUAUAUGAGAACUCCGCUAAUGGUAAACAAUCAUCCCAUUUCUGUGGGAAUUCUAGAACACAUGCUCGCAACAUAUCUUCAAGUAUCUGAUUUACCCUCUCAGUCUGCCCACUGGUUUGGGGAUGGUAGGCCGAACUGUGAAGCAACUUGGUACCUAGGGAUUUAUGAAGUGCUUCCCAAAACUUGGCUACAAAUUGCGGUCCAUGAUCCGACACUAUAGUCUUUGGAACUCCAUGCAGACUAAGAAUACGAGCAAUGUACAAUUGGGCAUAGACAGUAACCGGGUGAUCUAUCUUGACUGGCAGAAAAUGAGCAAUUUUCGUAAGUCGAUCAAUUAUAACCCAAAUAGAAUCAUACCCUUUUGCGGUCCUGGGCAAUCCCACAAUAAAGUCCAUGCUUAUAUCCUCCCACUUCCAUGUUGGAAUAGGUAACGAUUGCAAUGGACCAACAACUUUCAUGUGUAUGGCCUUGACACGUCUACAAGUGUCACAUCUUGCCACAUAGCAUGCGAUUUCAAUCUUCAUCGUUGUCCACCAAUAAUGCUGUUUUAAAUCAUGAUACAUCUUAGUGCUUCCAGGAUGAAUAGAAUAGCGACUAAGAUGUGCUUCAUCAAGAAUUUAUUGGCGGAUCUCAUCAUUUUUGGGCACAACUAUGCGGCUGUUAAACCAUACAACACCUUGAUCAUCUCUUCUGAAGCAGUUAGCUUUACCGGCCUCUAUUUUCUCAUGAAUGUGUUUCAUUCCCUCAUCAUUUCUUUGUGCGCCAAUUAUUCUUUACAGGAUGAUUGACUCAAGCUUCAAGUGAUUUGAAGUUCCAUGUUGGAUCAUUCCUAGGUUUAGCUUCUCCAUUUCUUGGCAUAACGUAAUGUCAGAAGUCUUCAUGGUGAGACAAUGGCAGAAAGCCUUACGACUUAACGCAUCUGCCACAACAUUAGCUUUGCCUGGGUGAUAGUGAAUCUCUAAUUCAUAAUCCUUUAUCAGCUCGAGCCAUCUCCUUUGCCUCAUAUUAAGCUCUGACUGGGUAAAGAUGUACUUCAAACUUUUAUGAUCUGUAUAAAUGCGACAGACAUUCCCCAGCAGAUAAUGACGCCAUAUUUUUAGGGCAUGAACCACCGCAGCUAACUCCAGGUCAUGAGUUGGAUAAUGUUCCUCAUGCCGGCGCAACUGCCUUGAAGCAUAAGCUAUUACUCGGCCUUCUUGCAUUAGAACACAGCCGAGACCACUGCCUGAUGCGUCACAAUACACAUCAAAGGGCUUUUCAAUGUCUGGUUGAGCCAAUACCGGAGCAGUGGUUAAUAAUACUUUCAGCUGCUCAAAGGCUUCAUUACAUUUUGAAGACCAAUUGAAUUUAAUAUCAUUCUUCAAUAAACUUGUGAUUGGUUUCACAAGCUUGGAAAAAUCUGGUAUGAAUCGGCGGUAAUAACUAGCCAGUCCAAGGAAACUUCGGACUUGAUGUACAGUGGUUGGGGGUUUCCACUCCAAAAUAUCCUUGACUUUGCUGGGAUCCACCGCAAUCCCCUUGGCAGAUAAUACAUGUCCCAGAAAUUGGAUCUCCUCCAGCCAGAAUGCGCACUUAUUGAACUUAGCAUAUAAUUGGUGUUCCCUUAAGCGCGUUAAUACGAUCCGCAAGUGCUGAGCAUGCUCCUCUUCAUUCUUGGAGUAUAUUAAGAUAUCGUCAAUGAAUACCACCACAAAUUUGUCCAACUCGGGCAUAAAUACCGAGUUCAUCAGAUAUGUGAAGUGGACAGGAGCAUUUGUCAGUCCGAAAGACAUAACCAGAUAUUCAAAUAAUCCAUACCGUGUGGUGAAUGCGGUCUUUGGUAUAUCUUUGGGUCGGAUACGGAUCUGAUGAUAACCCGACCUGAGGUCAAUCUUGGAGAAUACCCGAGCUCCGGUAAGCUGAUCAAAUAGAAUGCCAACCGGGGAAGAGGGUACUUAUUCUUGAUGGUGACCUCAUUAAGGGGUCUAUAAUCCACGCACAUCCGCAGUGUUUGGUCCUUCUUCUUGACAAAGAUGGCUGGACAACCCCAAGGUGAUGAACUUGGUCGGAUAAAUCCUUUUUCAAGUAGAUCUUGUAAUUGGGUCUUGAGUUCUGCCAGUUCAUUUGGAGGCAUUCGGUGUGACCUUCUAGAAAUAGGAGCCGUAUCGGGCUUCAACUCAAUCACAAAUUCUACAUCUCUUUUUGGAGGCAAUCCAGGCAGAUCUUCCGGAAAGACGUCCAGGAAUUCACAUACUACCGGAAUAUCUUGGAUCUUCGGUAUGAUGGCUUCAUAUACUCUGCCAGUUGGUUUAGCUGGAAUGGCUAUGGGGAUAGACAAAAGAACCUCUUCUUGGCCAUAACUCAACUUGAUGGUUCUCAGAUCAGUGUUGAGGAUUGCUUUAUGCUGGGCUAACCAAUUCAUGCCCAAAAUUACAUCUAUGUCUUGGCCUUUUAGAACAAUCAUGUUUGUAGGAAAGUCCCGUUCAGCCAAUGUUACGAGCACAUGGUAAGCCACUUCUUUAGUAAAUAUUUGUCCCCCAGGCGAAUGAAUUAUAAACCCUUCCCUUGAUUCAUGGUAUGGAAUGCAAUGUUGCUCCACAAACUUCUUGCUUAUGAAUGUAUGUGAAGCGCCAGAAUCAAAAAGAAUAACUGCGGGGUGAUUGGCCACGAGAAACGUACCCAUCAUAACCGGUUCGCCUUCCAGUGUUGUGGCCACUUGAGUAUAAUAAACCCAUCCCGUUUUCCUCAUAUAUUUUUCCCGCGGUAUUGUUUGCCGCAUUUCCCUUGACUUGAGCGGAACUCCCGGAACUCUGCUGAUUAUUUGAUCAAUUCUGCUUCGGGUAUGGACAGUCCUUGAUAAAAUGUCCGGACUUUCCACAAUUAAAGCAGCCUGUUGAAGAGCUUGGGAGAGCGGGGAAACGAGUACCAGGGGCACCCGGCUGAUUUGUGGCGGUGGGGGCAACGGUAGGACGGAUAAAAACCGGUUGUUUGAAAGAGUAGGAGGGUGGGCACGAUGAAGAACGAUUCUGGUUAAAAGGUCGGAUUACCAACCUUUGUCUUUUCUCAGGCCCCUGAUUGGGCCUGUCGCCUCCAUAACCCUUUGAUUUCCUGAGCCUGCAUAUUUGGCUUCAACUGCCAGCGCCGUGCUGACAGCCCUUCCGUAAGAAAGAUCAAUGCAGGUGGCCAUCUUUCGUUGCAUUCGAUCAUUAAGGCCUCUCAUGAAGCAAUUUCUCUUCUUUAAAUCAGUGUUGACUUGAUCGAUAGCAUAUUGGGACAAGUGGUUGAAUUUGUUAAGAUACUGAGUGACAGUAUCCCCACCCUGUUUGAGCUUCAUAAAUUCCUCCUGCUUCAUAUGGAGCACCCCUUCAGGUAUAUAGUGCUCCCAGAAAGCCAAUUUGAACUCGUCCCAUGUAAUUUGAUGGCCGGCCGGCUGAACGGCUACAUAAUUUCCCCACCAUGUACUGACAGGGCCUCACAACUGUUGUGCCGCAAAUAAGGGCUUUUGAGUCUCCGUACAUCAGAGAAGCCCGAAGUUCUGUUCGAUAACGCGGAUCCACUCAUCCGCUUCCAGAGGAUCUUCCGCCUUGACAAACAAUGGGGGACAUGUCUCUGAGAAAUCCAGAUAUGAUGUUUUACGGGGUCCUUGCGGAUACGCUCGCCCGCCUUGCUGCUGCAUCUGUUGUCCCGCCAUUUCCCGCAGAAAGCGGGUGUUGUCAGCUGUGGCAUUAACUAAGGCAGCGAUGGCCUCAGCUAAUGUUGGAGAUACUGGGGGUGGAUUAGGGGUUGCUUCCCUCCCACGGGAGGUUCCUGCCCCAUCCUGUGCGCGAGUCUUGGACAGCAUGUGAGGCAAAGAACAUUUGGAGAAAUAUAAUAUGCCAAAGCAAACCAUCCAUUUUACAUUACUUAAAAAGGUAAUGAUAUAGACUCGUAUUUACAACAGGAUUACAUUACCUAUUACACAUUAUUACUACUUCUAUACUACACUACUCUAGCUUCUUGUCGCUUUUGGUAGCCUCGUUGUCAGGUGUAGGAGACCAUUCGUCGACCAAAUUCAUUGAAGGAGGGGGCCUGAAAAGGUCUAGUUCCCCUCCAAGGGCUUCACCCGCUGCUCCAGAUGGUCCGGCUCCCAUCCCGACAGGAUCCGCAGGGACAUUAGGGUGCAGUUGUGAAUAUAAUACAUGAACUUCUUCAUGUAGUGUAUUACAAUAAACCUGCAAGUUAUCCAUGGCUGAGCUAAGCUCCUCCACGCGGGCUCGAGCUCUAGCUUCCUUUGCCCAAGCAAGUGAACGAGAGUUCACAGCCCAAUCGAGCGCUAGAUCCCGUUCAGCAAGUUGGUCUUGCAGGUGGCGGAUGUCUGUUCUCAAUUCGUUUAUUCUUUCACCAUCUGCAACCCAUAUAUCAUUCCUGUGACGGAGUUGUGAUCGAAGCUGUUCAACUUGGGCUUCCAGAUCCCCGAUUGGAUCGUUGCUACCACUGCUACUGUCUUCAUGCCGUGGGGCUAGUUGAUGGCGGGGUACGCCAAUCGGCCCGAUAGACUUGCGCGCGGUCUUUCUUGUGCGCGACGGCAUAUCUCCAUGAGGGGAAAUCUUAUUAGCAUAGUUUUUAGCAUGAUGCAUGUAUAAUUACAGAAUCAACCUUAGUUGAUUCACACCUUCUAUACAUUGCACUCUACUAUCUGGUCUUUAAAAUAAGUAUCUCAGAAGGGGAUUGGAUAAGAAGAAAAGAAAUUUUUCUAGAUAAGUCUUUGAAAAUUCUUUUUGAAAAUGUCUCAUAAUAUCUGCAGAGAUGGGCUUCGCUCUGAUACCAGCUGUGACAGAACCUCCCAAGUCAUUAGGCCCACCUACAGUUGUCCUUGUCCAACGGACUUCGGACAACCCUGCAGGUGCACCUGAUCACUUGACAAGUUCGAUAUAUGAGUUCCUUACCUUUCCCAAGAGCGUUUCACCCGUCACGCAGACAUUACAAUACAUUGCAGAUACGAAAGUGCGGAAGCAGUUACAAUAACUUACUUUUAUUGGAAAGUAGGUUACAGACCAGAACAAAAUAUAUGAGUGCUGAGUAUUAUUAUUACAAAACAUGGGAGGCAAAACCCCCUCCCGAAUAAGUAGUAAAAAGUUUUUCUUAAUCGAGGACCUUUCCUCCCGCAGCUUUAGUCUUGGUUCUCUUCUUUUGGUACCACCUUUGAACAGAAGCAACAAAAGUUUGCUGCUUCCUCACCUAAAACAACAUGGGACAAAGCCCUGAGUAUGAAGUGUACUUUCGCAAGACUUACCCGACAAAGUAAAAGACUCUCAAGGAUAUGCUCGCUUUAAGGGAGUCAAGGUAAGGCUUAUCAAUAAUCAAUGACUCUGUUUGCAGAAAUGCUUACUAAUAGUGGAUCCUUAAAAAUCUAGUUUUAUUUGUCAGGUUAAGUAAAAUUACCUGCAACUAGAGUUAAUUCUACCCUAGUUCAAUCACUUGACCUAUACUAGCCAAUUUCUUAACAACCCUUCAUCUUCACUGGAUUGCUACGUGUAAGUCAGUGACCAAGUCUUCAUGUCCGCGAAGUUACGGCGAUCCGAAUCGAUUAUACUUAGUUGAGGAUCUCCAAUCACACGACAUAUGUAGCACUUAACCCUUGCAUAUGUCAACUCGCCACCGGUGUUCUUAAGACCAGAUCAGGUUCACGCCAACCGAGAGCACAGAUACACCACCGUCCAGCCUCUUGCCAUGGAGGGUACAUGCUACUCUCACCAUCUCUCCACUCCCAUUGUGUGUUAUCUUAUUCUGGUAUUAGUCUGCCCGAGGCAAAGCUUACCCAUGACGAGGCAUGUGACCAGUUAAAGGGUCCUCGGUCAGCAGGCCUACAUCGGCACUGUCGGUGUUUUGGGUCCGACCGCACACCCGGGGUUGCCCCUCAAGGUGUUUUAGGAGUAGGACGGUGUCACCGACUGUAGCAAAAUGGUUUGUGCCAGAUGCACGAGGAACAAUGGACAAUGUUUACAGGUUCGGGCCGCUUGGAAAUGCAUAACACCCUACGUCCUGGCGAGUAUGCUUUGUGUAUGGAUUACAAGGUUGCUCUCCAAAGCGCAGAGAGUUGAGGUGGAUGAUGGAAUAAUAAUGAGGUCGAUCGUUCUGAAGGGGUGCCCCCUAGGCCUUAUAUAUCCGACCGUGGGGCAUUACAUGUGGAUAUGCACCUAAAAGAUAGUGAACUGUUUGAGUCUAUCUGCCUAUGGUUCUGCCGACCUAUCCUCGCCUAGUUCCGUUGCAUGGGGCUUCAGCGCAGGAAAGUCGGAUCUUUGUUGUGGUCCGCCCAUAUCUUGCUAGGUGGUGCAAUUUAUUUGCUCUGCGACUGAUUGGACAUUUGAUGGACGUUCCCUGGCUAGUCUUCACGUCGCUUCUGUCGGUCAUAUUUUGUACUUCCCCGGCUAUAUUUGGCUUUCCUCUGAUCCUUACUGAUAUCUCAUUUUUGUCUUGAGGUAUUCAUUGCAUGCCCUGCACGGAUGUGACAGUUUUGAAAAAUAUACUGAUAAUUCCUGGGCGUCCUCCCCAAUGGGUGUGGACAAGGGACGGCUUGGUACGCUGAGUGUUUUAGCCGGCUGCUUCUGAGUAGUAAUGUGAUGCGACGGCGGGCGUAAUCAUAUCAUCCACGCUGUUGACUGGAGUCCCAAUGGGUGUUGCGUUGCGUGAAACGGCGUCAGCCGCCUGACGUGUCUUUCAGACGGGUUUGAAGUGUGUAUUGAAUGCUUCACGACUGUUCAGUGACCGUGGUUGGAGGUGAGCGGUUGCCUUCUUCUUCUAUAAAUAGUGCCUUUGCCUCUCUGGUUUUUUCACAACUCUUGCUGUUCUCCGCUGCUUGCUUUCUUCUCCUUCUCGCGCUUCCACCAUGGGCAAGAAAAACAAGCGCAAGCGUGAGCCGACUCCUCCAUCAGAGGACUUCGGUGAUUCGGAGUACUCAGAGGAGGAGUUCUCCUCUGAGUCCGAGGGGUCUCCGGCUCCCAUCCCUCUGCGUGAGUCGUCUGACGAUUCAGACGACUCCCAGGGGCUUGCGGCGGAAGUCUAGACUUACAUCCGGGCCAUCGAGCGCUCCGGGCUCGAGGGCUCGGAUGAGUCGGAGUACUCCUCGGACGAGGAGGACUCGUCCGAGGGCGGUGGCGGCGAUGGCGACGACGACGACGACGACGACGACGGAGGUGGUGGCGGCAAUGACGGUGACGGUGGCGAUGACGGUGACAGCGGCGGCAGGGGCGGCAACGGCGGCAGCAAGGAUGGUGACGGUGGCAGCAGCAGGGGCAGCAACAGGGGCGGCAGAGGCAGCAACAGGGCCAGUGGCUAGAUGCCACUGGUCCUUAGAUGUUACUCCCUCCGGUGUCCUAUUAGUUGUCGUUUUGGAUAAGGUUUGAGUCAAACUUAUAAAAUUUUGACUAAAAAUAACUAUUUUGUUAUUUAGUUUUGGAACCUAAUAUUUAUAUGCACCAAUUUGUCAUAAAAAGUACUUUUAUAAAAGUAUAAAUGUAUUAAGAGUUUAUUUGUAUUUUAACAAAAAAGCAUUGGUCAAAGUUAUAUUUUGGAGACCGUGUUGUUGUCCUAAACGACAACUAAUAGGAAACCAGAGGGAGUAGUAUAGUAUAGUUAGAAUAAUGUAGUAGUAUUUAGUAGUGUAGAGUAGUAUAGUGUAGCGUAGUAGUAGUAGUAGUAGCAGUAGGAAAGUAUCAACUCAUAAUGAGUUGAUUUGUAAGUAUGCCAACUUCCCUUAAUGAAGAAUGGUUUCGUCUCCUCUGUGCCGAUUAUCCUGUUGUUGUGUUUGUGGCAUAACUUUGAGUUUUUGAAUCAUUCCUCCGCCCGCCCUAUUUAUGAAGUUGACUUCUUUGGGAUAGUAAUUAAAUAACUCGGGCAUCACAUCAACACUUUUAGGGGUGAUGGCCGAGCUAUUAUUGUCAACAUUUGCGCUUUUGAGAUAGCAUCCGAGUGGUGACGAAGCCAUGUCAGCGUCGGAAUGACUGAUGACCGCGUCGGCGCUUUUAGAGGUAAAGAGCCGAGUGACUUAUGACAUCGUCGGCGUCUUAGAGGUAACCGCCGAGCGACUGAAAACGACAUCAGCGUUUUAGAGGUAACUGCCGAGUGACUCGACGACAUCGGCGUUUUUUAGAGGUAACUGCCGAGUGACUUGACGACAUCAGCGUUUUAGAGGUAACUGUCGAGUGACUUGACGACAUCGGCGUUUUAGAGAUAACUGCCGAGCGACUGAAGACGACGUCGGCGUGUUAGAGGUAACUGCCGAGCGACUGAAGGUAACAUCGGUGUUUUAGAGAUAACGACCGAGUUAGAACGGGCUGCGCCGGCCAUGUUGAGGGUAAUAGCCGAGUGAUGAUGUGGAAGUGACCGCCGGGUGACAACGUGGCGCGCUGGUGUUCUGAAAGUAACUGUCGGGUGCUGACUGGGCGCUUUUAGAGACGGUAUCUGACUCGGGAAUAUCCCAUAAGUACUGCGCUUUUAGCCGCCUCUGCUUUCCGUGCCCUAGUUCUUGCUUUCCUGCCUCCAAAUCCUCUCUGCAAUUCGUCUUCCACUCUGUUCGCCGGUAGAAUUGAGAUGGUGCCCAAGAGGAAAACCUCGAGUUCAUCCGCCGCGGUGAUUCCCCCAAUCGACCCCAACAGUCAGUUGCCUUUCGCAGGUAACCACAUGUCUGUUGUUUCCGAGCCCGACCUUCUCCACCUCGUGUCCAUCGGGGUCCUUCCCCCGAGGGAGCUGUGUUCUUGGCGGAUUUGUCAUGGGGUCACUGUCCCGACAGAGGAUACCCAUGAAUCCGUAAUUUACGUUCCUUUUCUUCUCCGCGGCCUCGGUCUUCCCAUUUCUCCCUUUUUCCGCGGCCUCCUUGAUUUCUAUCGCCUUAACCUGACCCAUCUGAAUCCCAAUUCCAUUCUACAAAUUUCCAUUUACAUUCAUUUGUGCGAAGAUUUUCUUGGCGUGCUGCCACAUUUUGGGUUGUGGAAGUACUUGUAUCACUGUCGCCCUGGGAUGGCCGGGGGCAACAUCAGCUGGUUGGGGGUGCUAGUUUGGAGAUGCGCCGUGGGAGGAAGACUGAGUAUCUUGAAAUCCCUCUCAAAGACAGUAUCAAGGGAUGGCGCUUGGAGUGGUUUAUUGUUGAGAACCAUGGAAAUUCUCUCCCCCUAGGUCGGGAAGACAGCAGGAUGUUCGCACUCCAAGUUGGACAGAAUCCCCCACUGAUCAAAAGGUAGCUGAGGCAGGUGCUUUGCUAGCUGAAGUUGGGCUGCUGAAGGAGAGGGGUCUGACUGCUGAGGCUGUGGUUGCUGAUUUUGUUUUCAAGAAUAUUCAGUCGUUGAAAGACAGGGCAUACCCUGCUUAUCUGUACCGAGGCCUAGCUGACUCAACUCGGGUUACCAACAGAAGAAUUCCCUCUGUAGACUUGGUGAACCGACUUGAGAUGAUUCUUAGAGGCAAGGUAUCAAAUGUUGGUGCCCCAGUGGCAUACUCAGCCUGGAACUUGCCUUCUCCCAAGGCCUUCACUCUUUUUGUGUCGAAUCCACCUGUCAUUGAUGGCAGUUUGGGCCUUAGAGUGCGACCCUCUGCUGAAGAAGUUAGCGUCUUGGUUGCCUCGCUCGGGGAAAUUCCUGAUGAUGAACGGCAGGUCCAUUUUGAGGUGCCUUUGGAUCCUAGUGACGCAGAAAUAAGUGCUAUGCUUGAUUUGCUGGCUGAGGACUCUUCUGAUGCUGCUCCUGCUGGGACAUUGGUGGUGGCGCCUCUCCCAAAAACUGGUACAACCUUGGAUAUCCAGAAGCCUGCCAGUACUCGCCCGAGACGCCCUUGCCGAGCCAAUCAACUUGAUCCUUCCGCAGACGAGCAGAAAAAGAAAAAGAGACGCCUCCGGCGAGUAUCUAGUUUGGAUCGGGACGUUGGUACUUCGGUUCCUGCUGCUGAAGAAGUGCUUGUGCCUGAAUUUACUGACGCUGACCCCGAUGGGUGUGCUCCAUCUGUUGCUGAUCCCAAUGGGGGUGCUCCAUCUGCUGCUGAUCCCAAUGGGUGUGCUCCAUCUGUUGCUGAUUCCAAUGUGGGUGUUGCCUGUGUUGCUGGUGAAGACGACGGGGAGGAAGAGGACGAGGUCCCUCUGACUCGAAAGAACAGUCGGCAGUACGUCGUCAGUGGUGAAAGUAGUGGAGUUCUUUCUCCUGCUUUGUCUGCUCUCAUUGGUCUGCAAGAAUUGUCCCUGGUGAAUUUUGAUCAGACUCUUGAGGAUAUGGUUCCAGAGGAUCUGUUAUCAGAGCCAGCAGAUGAUGGUGUGAUGGAGGUUUGUGCUGAUGUGCUCGAUGCUGGGUUGAGGUCAUCCCAUGCCUCAUCGACCUUAGAACGCGGUCUUGAGGGUCAGGAGACUGACUUGGAUCAUCUUGGUCCCAUGGAAGUAACUGAGGGUCCAUCAGCCUUAGAGGCGGCUACUGCAGAGAACUUGGUCCUCAAGGACGGUGUUGACACUUGCCCAGCCCCCGAGGAUGUUGCCGGGGAUGACUCAGCUCGGGUGGGAAGCGCAAGCCACUGCCCAGCCCCCGAGGGUACUGCCGGAGAUGAUCCGGCUCAAGUGGACAGCGCAAACCGUGAUCCAGCCCCCGAGGGUGUCCGAGCGGGGUCUCCCUCUUGUACUUCCAUGGACGUUCAUGCGGAAUCGCCUCCACACUCCGGCUGCAUGGUUGUAGCCCAAGCUUUGGAUCAGGGAGUCGCUUUAGAGGGCAGCGUCCCCGCUAACCAAGUUUUGGGCUCUGUUGAUGGCACUGAGUUGGUUCCUGCUGGUUCGUUGCAAGCUGCUUCGGGUGGCGACCUUACGCCCGGUCAUCAAUUGAUCUCUCAUGAUUUGGGAGUCCCUUCGUUCUUUUCCAACCUCCAGGUACUGUGAUAUAUUUUAGCUUGAUUUUUACACCGCAUGAACUGCUAUCAUUACACUCAUCUGUUCUCCUUAUCAGGCUUUGGUGGAUGGGAUGGCUAGCCAGCUGAAGUUGCAGGGUGCUUCUGUUCCAGAAGGAGCUUUGUCUCUUGAACGUUGGAAUCCAGUGUUACUUCAACAUCGUGUCUCUGACUUGGAGGCGACCAAUGCUGGUUAGUGCUUUUUUGCUUCUCUUUGUCUUCAUUAUUGAACUGCCUUACAUUCUGACCCCUUUUAUUUGAUUGUCUUCUGCUAGAUAUGACUCGACAGAUUUCCACUCUUGAAGAAAAACAUUCUCGAGACCAGGCUGAACUGGUCCAGCGGUGCUUUGAUUUUGAAGAAAGGUAUUCUCAAAGCCAGACUGAACUAGAUCAGGUCUCUGCUGCCCUAGAUGACGCCAAUGCACUGAGCUCUUCCCUUCGCACUCAGCUUGAUUCUGAAAAGGUGACUUAUGGAACUGUGCUUUGCAUUAUUGUGUUCCUAUUGCUUGCUUGAUGUUUGAAGGAGUUGAUUUCUGUUUGCAGGAAGAAAAACGUAUCCUUGCUGCUUCUCGCGACAAUCUUUACAGACUGUAUCGCGACUCUAGCAACUCGUUGACCAUCCUGGAGAGGAGUCAUCGCUUCACCAUGGAGGAGUUAGACAACCAUCGCUGUAAGCUGCAGGAAUCCACGGAUGAGGUGAUCCGGCUCAAGCAAUUGAUAUCGGCGAAGGAUGCUACUAUCAAAGAACUCCGUGCUUCCAAGAAAUCCAUCGCCCAGGAGCUAGAAACCGCUCAGUUGGCUGCCAAGGUUGCUGAAGAAACUUCCAUUACUUUGAGAGCCCAGCGCGACAGAGCCAUGGAUAAGGCCAUUCGGGCGGGGCGAAUCUUGAUGAGGAGACCUGGCGUGGUUGUUCCUGAAGAUAUAAGGGCUGAUGUGAAUGCUGCUCCUGAUUCCUCAAGUCGCCCUUCCUCGUCGGUUGCCCCUGAGAAAGAUAUCGCGAAAUAGAGAAAUAUUCUGCGUCCUUUGAGCACGCGGUUAGCAUGGUCAGACAUUUGUUAGAGGACACUAGUUUAGCACUUGAAUGAUAUUGUUAUUCUUCUAUUGUUUCAGAAUUCAACAGUACGUAAAUUUGCAGUAGUAAAAUGUUGUGUGAUGGUUUUGAAACUUGUUUACGGGAUAUAGAAGUCAUCCCUAUAUGAGUAGUCGUAAGCGCGUCAAAAUCGCCUUAAGUUGCUGCUGACUUAAGUCGAUCGCUUCUGUUAAUAGGGCAUAGUGGUCAUCCCAAGUUAGGUAGGAGUGAGCGUGUUGCACCGUCUUAAGUUGUUGCCGACUUAAGCCGAUUGCUCCGUUAGCAGGGCAUAGUGGUCACCCCGAGUUAAGUAAGCGCGAGCAUGUUGCACCGCCUUAAGUCAUUGCCGACUUAAGCCGAUUGCUCCGUUAGCAGGGCAUAGUGGUCACCCUGAGUUAAGUAAGCGCGAGCAUGUCGCACCGGCUUAAGUCGUUGUCGACUUAAGCCGAUUGCUCCGUAGCAGGGCAUAGUGGUCACCCUGAGUUAAGUAAGCGCGAGCAUGUUGCACCGGCUUAAGUCAUUGCCGACUUAAGCUGAUUGCUCCGUUAGUAGGGCAUAGUGGUCACCCUGAGUUAAGUAAGCGCGAGCAUGUUGCACCGGCUUAAGUCGUUGCCGACUUAAGCCGAUUGCUCCGUUAGCAGGGCAUAGUGGUCACCCUGAGUUAAGUAAGAAUGCAAGUCAACCAUGAACAAACUGAGUAUUCUUGAAGCCUUUUUUAUUGAUGACAUAUUUCCCACUUUACAGAAUACAUUAUUGUCCCGAUAGCUUUUGAAAUACAGCUAGGGAUAAAACUUCCUGAGGUGUUCUAUAUUCCAGGAGUUCCCAAUUUCUAUGCCAUCCAUCUGAGUGAGACGAUAUGAUCCUGGCCGAGUGACUUCUGCUACUAUGAAUGGUCCUUCCCAUAAGGGCGAUAAUUUGUGUCGUCCCUCCCCCGUUAGAAUUCGGCGGAGGACGAGAUCUCCUACUGAAAAGGAUCGUUGUCGCACGGCCUUGUCGUGAUAGCGCCUUAGAGUCUGCUGGUAUCGUGCUGAUUGGAUUACUGCAUUCAGCCGUUCUUCCUAGAGUACAUCAAUGUCCUCCAUCCUAGUGGCUUCGGCUUCUGCUAUGCUUUCGAAGAUCAUCCUUGGCGCCCCGAACUUGAGAUCGGCGGGUAACACUGCCUCUGACCCAUAGACCAUGAAGAAAGGAGUGUUUCCAUGCAGAGCUCGGCUAGGCUGGGUUCUUAGGCUCCAAACGACGUAGGGCAAUUCCCUUAUCCACUUUCCUGCGAACUUUUCAUUCUUAUCGAAGACCUUUUUCCUGAGUGCCUCCAGUAUCAUCCCGUUGGCUCGCUCAACUUGCCCGUUGGCUCUUGGGUGUGCUACAGAAGCAUACUUGAUCUGAAUGCUUUUUUGCUCGCAGAAAUCGAAGAACUCUGAACUUGUGAAGUUGGAUCCUAGGUCAGUUAUGAUGUUGUUUGGUAUCCCGAAUCUGAAUAUUAUGUCUUGUAUGAAUUCCACGGCCUUAGCUGAGGUUAAAGAAGCAAUGGGUUUGAACUCUAUCCAUUUGGUGAAUUUGUCGAUUGCUACCAGUAUAUGAGUGUAUCCUCCUUGAGCUUUCUUGAAAGGUCCAAUCAUAUCGAGUCCCCAGCAUGCGAAGGGCCAAGUCACUGGUAUGGUCUGCAGUUGCUGUGCUGGUAGAUGUUGUUGCUUCGACAAGUACUGGCAAGCUUCGCACCUCUGAACUAACUCGGCUGCGUCAUUAUUCGCUGUUGGCCAAUAGAAUCCUGACCUGAAGACCUUCCCGACUAGUGUCUUGGAUGCUGCGUGUAUUCCACAUUGCCCAGCAUGGACCUCAUCCAGAAGUCGCUUCCCGGAAGAUGAGAGAAUGCACUUCAUGAAAAUGCCUGAUGCACCCCUUCUGUAUAAUGACUCCCCAAUGAGUGUGUAGUGAGCCGACUGUCUGGCGAUACGCUCGGCUGCAUUUUUGUCAUCUGGUUCCUCUUCAUUCUUUAUAUACCUGAUGAUUGGCCUUCUCCAGUCAUCAGAGUCUAACUCUGGUUGAUUCACGAUAUUACACUCUUCUGCUUGAUCCAUUGAGAUGCUCGGCUGUAGUAUUUCUUGCACAAAGACUCCAGGUGGGACCUGAGUUCGACUGGAUCCUAGCUUGAACAAUACAUCGGCUGCCGUGUUCCGAUCUCUUUCUACAUGAUGAAAUUCCAGACCUUCAAAUUUAUCUUCCAGUUUUCGGACGGCGGUGCAGUACCUUCCCAUUGAAUCGCUUGAACAAUCCCAUUCUUUGUUUAUCUGGCUUAUGACUACCAGAGAGUCUCCGUACACCAUUAGUCUCUUGAUGCCCAAUGAUAUGGCGAUGUUCAAUCCAUGGAUCAGAGCUUCAUACUCGGCUGCAUUAUUGGAGGCUGGAAACAGCAACUGGAGGGCAUAUUUGAGGUGCUCGCCUCUAGGUGCGGUGAAGAGAAUUCCUACUCCUGCUCCCUGCAGCUUCAGCGAGCCAUCAAAAUACAUUGGCCAUACUUCUGCAGUCUCUGGGUUAUCUGGUACUUGCUGUUCAGUCCACUCUGAUACGAAGUCAACCAAUGCUUGAGUCUUGAUGGCAGUGCGAGGUCGAAAUUCGAUGUCAUGAGAUCCCAGUUCACAGGCCCACUUGGCUAUUCGGCCAAUGGCUUCCUUGUUGUGAAGAAUAUCCCCUAUUGGAAAACCAGUGACUACUAUGACUUUGUGGUCGUCAAAAAAGUGACGUAGCUUGCGGGCAGUUAGAAGUACUGCAUAUAAUAGCUUCUGAACUUGAGGAUACUUUUUCUUCGAGGGACCCAGAACUUCACUGAUGAAGUAAACGGGAUGUUGCACUGGGUAGGCAUGUCCUUCUUCUGCUCGCUCGACUACCAACGCGGUGCUUACCACGUGAGUCGUGCAAGAGAUAUACAGCAGCAGAUCUUCAGCUGGUUGAGUUGACGUGGCUCGUCGUGGCGGCUUCAAUACUGGUGGUGUUGUCAAGAAUUUUUUCAGUGCAUCUAGAGCUUCCUGUGCUUCUGAGGUCCACUGAAACUUAUCCACUUUCUUGAGCAGCUUGUAAAAUGGUAAACCUUUUUCUCCUAGCCUGGAUAUAAAUCUGCUCAGAGCUGCCAUACAUCCAGUAAGUCGCUGAACCUUCUUUUGUGAUCGUGGUGCUUCCAUUUUCAUGAUAGCUUCAAUCUUGUCCGGAUUAGCCUCAAUUCCCCGGUGGCUGACAAUAAAUCCGAGUAACUUUCCUGCUGGUACCCCAAAAACACAUUUUUCGGGAUUAAGCUUCCAUCGGUACCGCCGUAGACUGUUGAAAACCAGCUGUAAAUCUUCAAUGAAGUUUUCCGAGUUCUCCGUUUUGAUUACCACAUCAUCUACGUAUGCUUCCACACGCUUGCCCCAGUGAUCGGCUAAGCAUGUUUGAAUGGCUCUCUGAUAAGUCGCUCCAGCGUUUUUGAGGCCAAACGGCAUGGAGGUGUAACAGAAAGCACCAAACGGAGUGAUGAACGCUGUUUUUUCCUCGUCUUCCUUCGCCAAGCUAAUCUGAUGGUAUCCGGAAUAGCAAUCCAGGAAAGAUAGCACAUAACAUCCAGCGGUGGAGUCUACCACCUGAUCUAUCCUUGGGAGCCCGAAGGGAUCCUUUGGACAAUGUUUGUUGAGAUCAGUAUAGUCGACGCACAUGCGCCAAUCCACUUUAUUCUUUUUGAGUACAAGAACAGGGUUGGCUAACCACUCGGGGUGUAACACCUCUCUAAUAAAUCCAGCCGCGACCAAGCGAGCUAGCUCGGCGCGAAUGGCCUCUCUCUUGUCGGGCGUGAAACGACGUAGUUUUUGCCGGAUCGGCCUUGCCUGGGGAUAGACCUUCAGUUUGUGCUCGGCCAGUUCUCUUGGGACUCCCGGCAUAUCCGCAGGUUGCCAUGCGAAUACGUCUCGGUUAUCUUGCAGAAACUGGACGAGCGUGUCUUCCUAUUUGUCGUCCAGGCUGGAGCUGAUGAUGGCAGUCUUGCGUUCAUCAGCGAACCCCAGGUUGAUCCUUUUAGUUUCUUCAGUCGACCGCAUAGAGGUCGUGGCUUGAGCUUCGUUCGCCGGUGCCGUAAAGUCUUCCUCAGGCUUAGAGUUCGCCUGUGUUGAAGAAGUCGUCGGCGGCUUGGUGGUGAGGGCCGCUUGGAUGGCCACUCGGAAACACUCUGCGGCGCCUUGGAAGUCAGCACGCACAGUUAUGAUUCCUUGUGGUCCUGGCAUCUUCAGUAUCAUGUACGUGUAAUGCGGAAUGGCCAUGAAUUUUGCCAAUCCCGGCCUCCCGAUGAUGGCGUUGUACCCGAAGUCGAAGUUCGCCACUUCGAACCUCAGGAACUCGGUCCUAUAGUUAUCCGGAGUUCCGAAGGUGACGGGCAUGUAGAUGUGGCCCAGCGGGUAUUCUCCUUCAGUCGGCACGAUGCCGAAGAAAGGAGUGUCGGACUCGUGGAGCUCUUUGAGGUGAACUCCCAAGCCUUGGAGUGUCCGGGGGAAGGUGACAUUGAUGCUGCUCCCCCCGUCCACUAACACCUUCUUCACCCUGCUCUCUCGGAUCACCGGAUCGACGAGGAGCGGGUAUUUCCCUGGGUGGUCGAAGUUGAGCCAUUGAUCCACCCGAGUGAAAGUGAUCGGAUGCUCCGACCACCGGUAUGGGGCGGGAGGACCGGUGGUCACCACCAAUAUCUGGCGAUCGUUGAGCUUUUGUUGUCUUCUAUUCUCCUGUGAUCUGUGUCUGCCGAAGAUGACGUUGACCUCCCUGUCAACGCGCGGGAAAGCUCCUCCUCCUCCCUCCUCCUGCUGCUGGGGUUGUCGUGGUUCUUCUGGCCCUCCCCUCGGUGGAGGAGGAGGUAGAGGUUGGAAGGGUCGGCCGUGCCCGAUGGAGUGCUUGAAGUCCCGGUAGUUCCGAAGAGUGUGGCGCAUGUCCUUGUGGUACGGGCACUGGGCGUCGAGGAUGUCAUCCAGCGUGUGCUCGCCUCCGCGAGGUCCUCCCCGGGCGCGAGAGGCUGGUGGUCCGGCGACGUGUACUUCUUCGCGAGGUCUCUUCUCCCAGCGUUUGUCGGGUUGCUGGUUCGCGUCGCGUCGUGGUGCUGCCGGUGCGGGCUUCGUUCCUCCGAUGAGGUCCUGGGCUCGCUCGUCGGCGGUGAUGUAGAGGUCGGCUUCCCGGAACAGCUCCUCGGAGGUAGUCGGCGCCUUCUGCAAUAUGGCUCGGACGAAGGCCGAGUCAUUGGAUCCUCUGUAGAAGUCCUCGAUCACGGCCGCCUCCGUGACCUCAGGGAUACGAUUUCUCAUGGUCUAGAACCUUUUGAGGUAUGACCGGAGAGUUUCGUCCCCCCGGCACUUGAUGGAUUUGAGGUCCCACGGUUGCGCCGGUUUGUCGGAGAGGGACUGAAAAUUGGCGGUGAAGCGUCGACUGAAAUCGCCCCAGUCGUCGAUGCAGUGUCGGGGUAGAUGUCGCAGCCAUUGCAGCGCGUCUUGCCCGAGGACAAUGGGUAAGUACGCGGUCAUCACGUCCUCGGACGCCCCGGCGGCCCGAGCAGCGGUGGUGUAGACGACUAGCCAGCCCCCUGGAUCCUGCUUAGGUUCAUAUUUAUCGACAUUGGAUACCUUGAAGUUUGGGGGCCAUUGGAUGGCCCUAAGGCGUGGAGUAAGAGCAGACACUCCACACGUGUCCUCCUGUCGUCGGGGAUGAUGUCUGUCCCGGGGAGGGGAGUAGUUGUUGUGGUUCCUCGACCGUCCCCGGGUAGUACCGCCAGUUGAGGCCGUUGCCGACUCAGUUCUGGUAGCCUGGCUCCGAGUUGGGAUGCCAUGAUCCCUGUCGUACUCCUCCCGGCGGCGGAUCUCGUUCUCAUGCCGUCGUUCACGUGAAGCAUUGAUGGAGCUUCGCGCAUCCCGACGACUGUUGAUAGCAUGUCGUAGAUCGUUCGGCGGGUGAGCAAGCGGUAGAAGAUGGUUGGCCGCCUGAGUGAACAGUCGUCGAUAGCCCUCGGCGUUAGGAGUCUGAGGGAGUCCAUCAGCUAUCCGAGCUAGUACUCCUCUGACUUCACUCGGCGUGUUCAUGGCUCGGGCGAAGUCGGGAUUCAGGUUGCGCCCGAAGAGUGGAUUCUCCCGGCGUUGCCUUGCAUCUUGCUCGGCUUGUUCCUGAGCCCGGCGGCGAUCACGUCGUCGGGAGUUCCUUCGUUCUCUGAAGACGCGUUCCUCUGGAGUUUCUCCUAUCUCCGAGACCUUGUCUCGCGAAACAGGUUGCUCCGGAUCCCGUUCUCCGGCCUCGUGGUGUCGCCGAAUGUUUCGGCGCCGGUUUCUCCGUCGGCGGGAUUCCCGCUGAGGUGGUUCUUCUCCGGGCGCGGUCGGCUCGUCGUCGGAGAUGGGGGGCGACUCCACCCUCCCGAUGAAGAGGACGUCGGGGUAGAAUGGUACGGCGGUCGUGACGAUCUUUUUUCCGUUCUCCUUUGAGGGCGGAGGAACGGGAAGAACAACUUGCUUUCUCCUGGUCUCUUUCUUCCUUGCGACCUGUGUCCAUUCUUUCGUCGGGGAAGUAGACAGUGGAGUUCUCCGGGUCAACGGGCCCUCGGCCCCUGACUUUCUGAAGGCGAUCUUUUUUCGGAGAGCUGGAGGUUGUGCUUCUCCGGUAUUUUCGGAGUUUGUUGGAGGAGACUUCUUUUUCGGCGGAUCUGCAAUGCGGUGUAAAGUUCCCUCUUCAUCUGCUAUGGACGAGAUCGUCCCAAAGCAGAAUACGGAUCCAGGUCGGAGGGUGAUCUUGCUGUAGAAGGUGAUGGCCAUUGAGCUAUCUUGGAUCGGCGACACACCCCCUACCUGGCGCGCCAGCUGUUGGUGUUUUGGGUCCGACCGCACACCCGGGGUUGCCCCUCAAGGUGUUUUAGGAGUAGGACGGUGUCGCCGACUGUAGCAAAAUGGUUCGUGCCAGAUGCACGAGGAACAAUGGACAAUGUUUACAGGUUCGGGCCGCUUGGAAAUGCGUAACACCCUACGUCCUGGCGAGUAUGCUUUGUGUAUGGAUUACAAGGUUGCUCUCCAAAGCGCAGAGAGUUGAGGUGGAUGAUGGAAUAGUAAUGGGGUCGAUCGUUCUGAAGGGGUGCCCCCUAGGCCUUAUAUAUCCGACCGUGGGGCAUUACAUGUGGAUAUGCACCUAAAAGAUAGUGAACUGUUUGAGUCUAUCUGCCUAUGGUUCUGCCGACCUAUCCUCGUCUGGUUCCGUUGCAUGGGGCUCCAGCGCGGGAAAGUCGGAUCUUUGUUGUGGUCGCUUGCUCAACGCUGUGGGCCGUCCGGGCUUGCAUCAAUCCGGCCUUACGUCAUCCUGCUUUACUGAUUGUCCCUCCCCAGGCCCACGAAGGAAUGGCCUUACGAUUUAUUGGGCCCUUGGGCCUCUUGUGAGGUCUUUUACCCUUCCAGUGGACCUGGGGGAUAUCUGUCCCCCACAGGCACGGUCCUUAAUCGACUUAGAUGGAGACACUACACCGAGACUCCCUUCUCGUUCAAGUCACCCGCCCGGUCUCAGCUUUAUCAUUUUAACCCAAAGUUUGGUACCUGGCAGAGGUACAUCUUUUCUGAUGUUGAACCCAUCAUGGCCAUGAUGGAUCCACCAUCAAGUUUUGUUUUUGAAAACAUCCCACCCAUUUUGAAGCAUCAUCUUUUGUGGAAACAAAACAUUUUGUUUUUCGGAGUCAAUAGUGAAGUUCAUAGAGCAGGGGCUAGGGUUUUGGGUUCUAAGUAUCAAACAUGGUCCAAAUCAUUCCAAACUUUACCCAAGGCCUCUAAAUAUUAUUUAGAGUUUUCCCUAAAAGUUUAGUGAAUUUUGGAUUUAUUAUUUAUUCUCUAAAAAUACAGAAGCAUGGUCUUUGGCUGUAUUAAAUACUCUAUAAUUUCCUAUUUGGACUAAAAAUCAUGAAACUAUUUUAAUUAAAUACUAUAGGAAAUUGGAAGCCUAGCAAAAUUAGUUUGGGAUUUUUAGCAUUUUUCUACAAUUUUCUAGAAUUUCUUUAGCUUUGGCAAAAAAGGAAAAAGAAAAGAUAUGAACAGUAUUGGACCGAAAUCGGCCCAAGUCAGCCCAACAUAGGCAGAAGCACGCCCCCGCGCGCGCCCACGUGCAGACUUUGCAAAUAUGUCCCUGAAGUUAUGAAUAACUGAAAGCGGGUUCGCAGUACUAUUUCUAGAGUCACUGACACUUUACAGAAACCUCCCCCAUGUUCUAUUUCUUCGCAGGUUGAGGUCCACGACGGUGGACAGCGCAUGGCCGAGCUCCGGCGAGCUUACACCAGCCGAUUCACUUAAUGACCGGCACCCUACUUUGGCCAAGACCGAAUUCAAGACCCACCGAUCGUUUCCCCUCACUCAAUUUCACUAAUGAGACUCUAAAUCAUCCUGUCCACGGAGACAGCGCGGACAAUGGAUGAACAUGGGCGUUCUCGGUGAUCCAGGGCGGUCUAGUUCAAUUGAAUUGGUCGAGGAGCUUGAGGAGGACUUAAGGAUGCUAGAACAAAAGAGCAGGGAGUACGAGCAGACCUGGAAUACGCUGACCGCGGUGAGGGAUCUUUUACGGUGGCGGAGAACAGAUUUGGGGAGAAUGAGAAAUUAGCGAGCUCUGGUGAACAAUUGGAGGCACGACUUGGUGGCUUGGUGCGUGAUUACCCUACGGACUCGAUGGUGUGCUCAAUUUAUAGCAUCCACGAGCGGUGGCCGGUGAAUUGGACGAAGACGCACGGCGGCCGGAGAGGAAGAGGGGCACUGGCACAAGCUCUUAGUGGCUUUCACCGUGGCGGACCCUCCGGCAAUCACCGGAUAUGCCUAACACGACUAACCGUGACGUGGUAAGACGCCUGGGCACAUGGCAAACGAUCGGCAGGCUGCCAACGCCGGUGAGCUUAUCUGCGUCGGCCGCAAGACAAGGGGGUACGACGGCCAGCCACCGGAGUUAUCCCCAAGCGAAGAUCUUUUUACCUAGGAGCAUUAUCCAGUCACCGGUGAGCAUGAAUCGCAACAGCGGCGUGGAUCUAGGCGCACAGUCGCCAGCGGUCAGGUGCGCUGCACCAGCGAUCUUGUUUAGGGCACUGUACCAUUGGAAUCCCCUAUUCAGUCAACCUGACAGAUCAACUUUGAGUUCAAUUUUCUCCUAAAUUUACAUGGCAACUUGUUGAUCGGCUAGUAGCAAAGUUGUUGUCUAAUGACCCGUUUACAACCUUGCUAUAGCAACCAUAGCCAAACUCUCACUAGAUCAUGGUUGAAUUCCAAUUCAAAGAUGGCUCAAUCACACUGUCAGUCUGAUUUCAGACCUAAGACAGUUUGACAGCUCGACUUUGGGUACACUUUUCUCCAAUUUCUGUUCAGUACCAGUGCUUAGUCACUUAAGUAAACUUGUUCUCCUAUCAUAGCUCUACAAACUUGAUGUGGUGACCUAGGACAAAAACCUUAUAACUUGGAAGAUACAAGCCUUCAAAGUUGAGCCAAUGUACUGAAAUUCAGGCUUAGCCAAUAGAGUUCAAAUAGGGCUUUUUGCAAAUAGGUCCAAAUCUCAAGGUUUAGGUUGCAAAUCCACAUACUUGUGAACCAUAUGACUUAAGGUGCCUUAAUUUCAUGGUUUUUGCACUUUAGUCCAAAAGUGCAGUAAUUUUGCACUUAGCCCCCUAGGGUUUAAGUCUAGGGCUUUCUAGGGUUCUAUUUAGGGUUUUUGGUGACUCUAGGGUUUGGAUGCUGUUUAAAUUCAUCCAUGGUGACAUUUUAUGACCAUCUCAAUUGAGUUUUGAAGUUUUUUCCUUAUUUAGACUUUGUUUGCUCUUUCAAGCCCAGUUUAGGGUUAUGUACCCUACCCUAGGGUUUCACUUAUAACAUGUCACAUCAAUACAACUUGUUUGAACUUUUUGCCUAGUGAAUGCAUUCUAAAUGUAACAAUCACAUGAUAUGUCAAUGCUUAUGAUGUCAUGCUCAAGUUUUAGUGAUAGUAACACCAGGGGUGUUACAUAAACUGGGUCCUAUUGUCCGUAAUGAUAUGGCUUGGGACCCCAAAUCUACAGACGAUCGAUUUGAGGAAAGCAACAACAGCACCCUGGAUGAUGUUGACCAUAGGGGUGGCCUCUGGCCACUUUGUGAACUUAUCAAUGGUGACGAAGAGGAACUGGUACCCGCCGAUGGCCCUAGGGAAUGGUCCCAGGAUAUCCACCCCCAUACGACGAAUGGCCAAGAGGGUGGAAUCAUCUGCAGAGCCUGUGCUGGUGUGUCUAUCUGCUUUGCAUGGAACUGGCACGCCUUGCAAGACUUUACCAUCUUAGCUGCAUCCUGGAGAGCGGUUGGCCAGUAAAAGCCAUGCCGGAAGGCCUUACCGACCAGUGUGCGGGAUGAUGAAUGACUUCCGCACUCUCCUCCAUGGAUAUCCGUGAGCAACUCAUGGCCCUCCUUCUAGGUAAUGCACCGCAUGAGAAUGCCGUUAGCGCCACGGCGGUAGAGAUCCCCUUCUACCACCGCGUAGCGUUUAGCCAACCGCACUAUGCGCUCUGCGGACACAUGGUCUUUAGGAAGGAAAUUUUCCUUCAGGUAGUCCCGGAUCUCGGAGAUCCAUGCAUCAGGACCACUCUGAGAUAUUGACUGCGGCGCUAAGGGACUGGCAGGAUUUCCUAUAGCACACACAACCUUUGGUGGGUUCUGUAGAUGGGACGCCACCGGGACCACUAGCUUCGAGGUGCUAGUCUCGCCCCCUGCGCCCAGCUCGGUUGGCUGGGCGGUGGGUCUCAGCAGCCGUCUUUCGAAGAAGCCCUCGGGCACGAGUGCCCAAGUUGAUGCCCUCACGGGGAGGUCAUCUGCUGCCGAGUUGUCAGCCCGAGGAACGUGUUGCAGUUCCAGGGCAGUGAAGUCAUUUUCCAACUUUCUCACGUGAAGUAGGUACGCUGUGAGCCUGGGCUCGUUGCAGCUACACUCCCCGCGGACUUGCUUGAUGAUCAGCUGGGAGUCCCCCUUCACUAGAAGCAGGCGGAUCCCUAGGGAUAGGGCCGCUGAUAAGCCGAAGAUUAGUGCUUCAUACUCCGCCAUGUUGUUGGUGGCCUUGAACUCAAGGUGCACCAUGUACUUCACUUGAUCUCCGCUUGGGUCGAUGAGGACCACUCCAGCUCCGCCAACUUGCUAACGGGCGGAUCCGUCGAAGAAGAGUGUCCAGUGGGGCCCGGUGAAGAUCGGACCCCUGGGCUCCGCAGGUGUGGGGCCCGAGUCGGGGUUCGGACCCCCAGGAGCACUCGGGGGAGGCGUCCACUCCACGAUGAAGUCAGCCAGGACCUGGCUCUUGAUGGCGUGGCGAGGCUGGAGUCCAGUUGGAACUCAGCGAGCUCCGCUGCCCACUUGGCGAUGUUGCAUGUGGCGUUAGAGUUGUGGAGGAUAGCCCUUAAUGGAAAGGAGGUCACCACCACGACCCUGUGUGCCUGGAAAUAGUGGCGCAACUUCCUAGACGCAACAAGCACAGCAUAGAGAAGCUUAUGUGUCUCAAGGUACCUGGUCUUUGCCUCAUGGAGGACCUCGCUGACGUAGUAGAUCGGCUUCUGAAUGGUCCGGACUCCUGUAGCCGGUCCUGAGCCCUCAUGUUCCUGGUCUUCUUAUGCCGUCCUCUCGACGACUAGCACCUUGCUCACCGCUUCUCCAGCCGCCGCGAUGUAUAAAUACAGCGGCUCCCCAGGCUCUGGGGCUACCAAUAUUGGUAGGGACACCAUGUGCUGUUUCAACUCUUGGAAGGCUUGUUCUGCCUCUUUGGUCCAAGAGAAUGGACCGGACUUUCGUAAUAGCUUGAAGAAGGGCAGCACCCUCUCAGCCAGCCUCAAAAUGAAGUAGCUAAGGGCGGCUAAUGACCCUGCAAGCUUCUGGACAUCCUUGAUAUGGACGGGGGCCGCAUUGCUUCAAUCGCCUUGAUUUUCUCCGGGUUUGCCUCAAUGCCCCGGUACGAAACCAGGAACCCCAGCAACUUCCCUGCAGAGACACCAAAGACGCACUUGUUUGGGUUUAGCUUUGUGCGGGUUGCCCGCGGCCUAUCGAAAACCAGGGUCAAGUCUUCCACUAGGGUCUACCCUCUCUUGGUCUUGACUACGAUGUCAUCGACGUUUACUUCCUGUAACACCUUAAGAUCCUAUUCUAGAGUUUAGGAAAAAAAUCCCCCAAAGAUUUUGAAUUGGAAUAUCUUUAAUAAAAAGAUUCUUAACUUUGAAGUUACAUCUCGUAAAAUACAUAUGUUUUAAAAUAAAUGUUAAAUAGAAGAAUCCUUAUACAAAUUUGGUUACCCCUUUCGUUGAAUUAUAUAUAUACUCUAAAAGUAUUUUAUAGACUAGAAAUUAUUUUCUUUUGUUGUGUGUAUGUAUUGCGUGACUAAAAGUAUUUACUUAGAUAAGAAAAUAAAUAAAUAACAAAAAAAAUAAUUAUACUUUGCAUUACAUGCCGGGAUUUAAUUCAUACAUUUGAAGUUGAGUAUGGAAAUAAAAAAAAUUUGAAUUCGAAAUUAGAAUUUGUAAUCUGAAAUUAGAAAACAAAGCAAGAAGGGAUUAAAGCAAAUAAAGAAAAAGAAAACCACCCCAAACCGUCCCACACACCUCGACCCAGCCCUAGAAAUCCCAUGCAACAGCCCACGUUUUUUUUUAAUUUUCCAGCCGCAGCUGCUUUUCCUUGGUCGCUGCUGGUGGGCUUGCACGGUCAGCGCGAUUCCUUCCACCUCUGGAUCGAACCUGUGCAUCGGGUUUUUUUUUGUGCCUGGCUCUAUCAAAUGUGUUCCACUCGACGGUUUUCUUCGCACCGGCCGAGCACCCCCAUGUUCUAGAAGCUUCUCCCUUGCGUGAAUGUAGCAAUAGACUCCGGCAGUUGGGAUCUCCUGGCAGCGAAUCAUAACAAAUUUUGUCCCAAAAUCUAAUCUCCGUAGCGAAGCUGUCAUUGUUUGUUGCGAUUAUCCCGGUAGAUUUCGACUCAGACUCGAUUCCAUCCUGCGAUUAUAAAAGUCCAGCCACCAUAGCCAUGCGAGCAGCGCACGUCGGAGAGGGAGCUCGGGUGUCGUCGAGUGCGGAACCAGGGAGCCCCGUCGUCCGGGGGGCUUCACCGCGCCGCGCUGGUCAGGUCCGUGGCUUUGGCCGGGCAGGUUUUCGCCCAGAAUUGCGGAUUGGGCGGACCUUCUGUCACGGAGCUUCUUCUCGUCGCGAGCCGCACCGAUUGUGCCCGGAUUCGUGGUAAGUCUUUGUUUAUCGAGUUCUAGGCUUAGCCCGGAGUCGAUUGUCGACUUUUAGCCGCGGGAUUGGUGCGUCAGGGCACGGAUUUGGUUUGCUCCGGCGAGGUCGCGGCCGUCGAUUUGGGCGGCGCUGCCUCGGGUGGAUGUUGGGGGGAAGAUGGUGGUUGUCCGUUAGAUUACGAUCCAACGGAUAUGAUUGAUCGGGAGCGAAGGGGUGUCCUGAGCCGUUGAUCGAUAGAUGGGCGGCACGGAUUAGAUCUCUGCGUACCCCCUUCGGCCAACACAUUUGCUAAAGCGCCCCUGCUCUAUAUAGUAAUCAACCCGCGGUACAAUCCUGAGUCUUGGAACUAUUUGCAUAGUAGACCCUGUGCUCUAUGGAAUUCACAGCCGCGGUCCAGUCAGUUAUUAAAUAAGAGAAAACAUAAUCAAAAUGAAUUUCUUAUAUAAAAACAAUUCCAGAAUCUUGUUAAAUCCAUAGAAAAUUCAUAUUAAGUCCGAAUUGACCCAUUCUUGUUUCUAUAAUUUUGUAAUAUUAUUGUCUAUCGGCUAGUGUCUCUGGUUUGACAUGAAAACUAUAUUAAAAAUUAAUCUCUCAAUUAAUCUUGUAUCAAAUACAUAAACCUUUGGAAAUUUCUAACGUCCCCAUUUUAACUCCGUUUUGAUCCAUUCUAGUUUCAUUAGUCUCACCAUAAUAUUUAUUAUCAUCUGGUAACUUUGUUUUGUCAUGAGAUAUAGGUUAAAAUGUUGCACUUAGUCUAUUAUAUACUUAACCGUGGAUCUUCUAUAAAUCAUAACUCUUUAACCGUAAUUCCGAAUUUAGUGGUUCUUGUUUCCACGAUCUCGUAGCGACGCGUAGCUUAUUCUUACACAGUUAGUUCUUAUGAUUGAUGUGAUGUUAAUUUUGUCUAUACCAUGUUUGUUUGUAUUGCUACGACUAGCAGUGAGGUUACGAAUCUCGAAGAGCAAGUUGGUACCUAGAAUCUCAAGUCCCAGGCAAGUUGUGCCCUUGAUCACUUCUUUUACCCAGUCAUGUUCUUAUUAAUCAUAAUGAUCUGCAUAGGUUAAUUUUGAUGGGACCCAAUAGGAUACCCUAGAUUUUGACUAUCUUUAUACCUUGCUUCACCACUGGUUUUACUACUAAGUUUUUGGGUAGUACAUGCUAUUGCUUUAUGUGGAUUUGGGUAUAGAGAUAUUCAUCACUCAUUUUUACACUUGUUAUUAUCUGUUCAUUAUUUUAUGUUCAUGAUAAGAUCAUUAUGUUAAUGGGAACAUGGAGAACCACCCAGGAAAACAGUGCUACCACAAGGGUUUAUGGACGCCCUUGGCUGAUUAAUUAGGAAAGCUAGUGGAGGACUACCUUACCCGAAAGGGGCAAGGGCAGUAGGGGAGUGGUCAGUGUAGGGAGGUCCUUGGUUGAUUUUGCUGCGAUGGCGGUCAGGCAAGAACCCUGCACUGGAGCUUCCUAUAAACUGUAGCGGGUUUUCUGAAGCUAGUGGAACUUUGUAAAGGCCUCGUAGUGGUACCCUGCCUCGCUUCCUUGGUAGAGGUGUAUGGAGUCUGAUCAACUCUGUGGCAAAUGGGUAACACGACUUGUGGGUAAAGAUGCGCAACCUCUGCAGAGUGUAAAACUGGUAUACUAGCCGUGCUCACGGUCAUGAGCGGCUCGGACACUCACAUGAUUAAAUUAUGGAACUUAAACUCAAUUUGUCAUAUGCAUUGCAUCGCAGGUGAGGUUGUUACUUUUGUUCUACUACUUAAUUGGGUUGGUAUUUACUUAUACUUAGUAAUUGCUAAUAAAAUUUUGACCAACUUUAAAAGCAAUGCUCAGCUCUAACCAUCCUCUUUGGUAAGCCUUACACUUCACGUGAGCUCCCACCUUUGGCGAGUUCAUGCACAUUAUUCCCCACAACUUGUUAAGCGAUGAACGUAUGUGAGCUCACUCUUGCUGUCUCACACCCCCCCACAGGUCAAGAACAGGUACCAUAGGAUGAGGCGCGUGGAGGAUGCUGCGAUGUGUUCGUGAGAGGUCUAGGUCGUCGUCUCCCAGUCAACUUUGGUUUGCUGGACCGUUGUCUCCUUAUAAUGUAAUUAUUUAUUUUGUACAAAACUCCUAUUAUAUAGUAAAGAUGUGACAUUCGAUCAUGUGCCAUGAUUCAUCAUAUGUGUGAGACUUGGUCCCAGCACACCUGGUGAUUAUGUUCACGCCCGGGUCUUGGUGCCCCAAAAUCUGGGUGUGACACUCCCUGAUCAGGUCCCCGAAAGUCUUACUCAUCGCUCGCACAAAUGUUGGCAAGGCGUUCUUCAGACCGUAGGGCAUCACGACAUAGCAGUAAAGCCCAUCCACUGUUACAAAAGCGAUAUGCUUCCUAUCUUCCCUAGACAUCUGGAUUUGAUGGAAACCAGAGUAAGCAUCUAAGAAAGACAAAAGGUCGCACCCGGAGGUGGAAUCCACGAUUUGAUCUAUUUGCGGAAGUGGAUACGGGUCUUUAGGACAAGCCUUGUUAAGGCUGGUGUAGUCGAUGCACAUCCGAAGCUUCCCAUUCGCCUUGGGGACGAUGACUGGGUUGGCCAGCCACACUGGGUGAUGGACCUCUUCGAUAAAGCCAGCGUCUAGCAGCUUCGGACCUCGUUCGGAUGAAGUCCUAUCGCUCGACAGACUUUCUGCGAGGCUUCUGACUCACCGGCCUGGCGUCAGGGUUGAUCUUCAGAUGGUGCUCGAUCACCUCCCUGGGGAUCCUAGGCAUCUGCAACGGCUCCCAUGCGAACAUGUCGGCGUUUGCCUGGAGGAAGGAGACGAGCGCGAGUUCCUGUUUUUCCUCCAGAUCACCCGCAAUGCGAGUGGUCUGGGAGGAACCCGCGCUGAGCUGGACGACCUUGAUGGGGACGUCGUCCGCUCCGGAUGGCUGCACCUUCGACACUUUGGUAGGCGCCUUGGUACCAGAGGUCGAGGGGUUCUUCCCUCCGUCGUCUGGGCAAGCAGCUUUUGCCGCUAGGGCAUGCAGCUUUUCCAUAGCCGCGAGCGCAACGGCGCGGUCGCCCUGCACGGUGAGGACCCCGGCCGGAGACGGCAUCUUGAGGACCAAAUACCCGUAAUGGGCGAUGGCCAUGAACCGGUACAGGGCCGGCCUGCCGAUGAUGGCAUUGAAGGGGAGGUUAACCUUUGCGACAUCGAAUACGAUGUUCUCCAUGCGGAAGUUCUCCUCGGUCUCAAAUGUAACUGGGAGUGCGAUGCUCCCAAGGGGAUACAUCGGUUGUGGGCCCAGUCCAGAGAAUGGACGAGAGGGUCCCAGCCGAGACCUUGGGAUCUGUAGCUGCUUGAAUGUAGCAUGACUGAUGACGUUGAGGCCGGCCCCUCCGUCCAUCAGAACAUGGUGCAGCCGCAUGUUGGCGAUGACAAGAGCGGUGAUGAGCGGUAGUACACUGGCCCCUGCCAUGUUUUCGGGGCAGUCGGAUGCCCCAAAGGAGACAGUGGUGCUCCUCCACCGCUGAUGUGGAGCAGCCUUCGGGACCCCUGGGACCGCCAAAAGGACCUCUCGACGCAGGGACUUGAUGUUCCUGCGGGAGGUGAGCUCCCAACUCCUGCCGUACACCAUGUACAACUUCUUGCGGCGGUCGUCGUCGUCACCAGAGUCGGAGUCUCUAGUGAAGACGUCCUUGAGGCCCCCCUUGGGUGACUGAUACCCGAGCUCCCGUUCCCCUGCGGCUACUUCGCCGUCGUCGACCCUCUCCUUGCUAGGUCGGCGAUGGGGUGGGGAGCCAUCCUUGGAGGACUGCUCGCGACGCUCGCUGACGCGCUUCGCGAGCUUGAUUAUCUCGCGGCACUCCAAAGCGCUGUGGCGACUGUUGGGGUGCAUAGGGCAUGUGCCGCUGUUUCCACCCUACGGCCGGGGGCGCUUGUUGCGCUCGCUCCAGCCCCCAGCUGUCGCUGCGAUGACCGGAGCGGCAGUCUGCGGCUUCUCGUGGCCGCGGUUCUUCUUUUUCUUCUUUUUGCCGUCUUGGGACACGGCACCCGAGCCACCCGUCUGGGUGACCUCGAUCUGUGGUGCCGAGUGCCAUGCACGGCCCUCGGCAGCCCUGGCACACUUGUUGGCCAGAGCGAAGAGUGUGGUGACAGUUUCCAUGUCGUGUGUGGCUAACUUUUCCAACAUCUUUUCAUCACGCACUCCCUGGCAGAAAGCGGUGAUGAUGGAAGCAUUUGAAAUACGAUGAAUAGUGCCUCGUACCUUGGUGAAGCGGGAGAUAAACGCCCAGAGAGUUUCUCUAGGCUCCUGCCUCACUGCGUGGAGAUGGGCUUCCACGCCAUGUUGCUGAUAAGCGCUGGCGAAGUUCACUACAAACCUUGCGCAGAGCUCUUCCAAGGAGUAGAUCGAUUCUGGGGCAAGGUUCAUGAGCCAAGUCCGGGCCGGCCCAGACAAGGCAACAUGGAAGUAUGUCGCCAUUACGGUGGUGUCUCCACCGGCUGUCGUAAAUGGCGGUGACGUAAACCUGCAAGAAUUCUGACGGAUUUGUCGUACCGUCGUACUUCUCCGGCAGGUGUGGCCGGAACUUGGAUGGCCAGGUCGCCGCGCGGAGAUGAUCUGCUAGAGCGGCGCAGCCCACGCCGGCCAAGGGGACACCCGUCUGGAUCCGGGCGCCCGUUGGGGUCUGCGGUGCAACCGCAGCAAAGUCGUAGUCGAGGUUGCGACCCUCGAUGUUUUGUCGGCGCUCACGCACCCUCUCCAGAGAGACGCAGACAUCCCCGCCCACACGCCUGCGGUUGAGUUCCACCCGCAGGUCAUUAGACCUCUCCAUAGAGACUGGGGCAUCCUCGCCCGCUCGCCGGCGAUUGAGCUCUGCCCGCAGGUCCUCAGUCAGCGCGACCCUCACCGAGGGAGAGCGCAUUGAUACCGACGCCUCAUGCUGGCGUUGGGAUGACCGAGGCCUUGGCCUGGUUGAGCCAGAGUGCGCCAUGCUGAGCAGGCGGUCGACGUCGUCACGCCACUGCUUCAUGGCCCCCGAGGAGGCCGUGGAGCUAGGAGGGUGGCGCAGCAACUCUCUAGCCGCUGACAGCGCCCCAGGCGCAGCCCUAGACGUCCUCGACGUUUGCGCGGGAGUGUGCUGCCGUGCAGAGUGCACAGCAGUGGCCGCACCAGGCGCCGAAAGGUUGGUGGCCCGCGGUGUGGAAGAGGCAGCCGCCUCUUCCACCAUGAAGUCCUCGGGCAAGAGAUCAUGGUGCUCGACGAUGUGGACCAUGGAGUUGAGCAGAAGAUUAAGCAAAAACCUAAAGCCUAUCCCCCUACCUGGCGCGCCAAAUGUCGGAGAGGAAAUCUCCGGCCAGGUGGCGGAAUGCACCCGCCCUAAAUCCUAAGAUGAGGAGGGGCCUAAGUGUUUUGCCUGUUAGGUGGAAACGGGAAGAACACAAGAACACACAAGGAUUUAGAGUGGUUCGGGCCGCUGGAGCGUAAUACCCUACUCAACUAUGUGAUGUAUUGAGCUUGAGAGCUUGUAUGAACUUGUGAGUGUGAGAGUCUAAGUGUGUCUGCCUUGUAACGUUGCGUGCCUCCCCUUUUAUAGCUCAAGGGGGCACGUACAAGGGUGCUGAGCCCCGACAUGCGGGCCCAGGAACAUAACAGAUGUAAUAUUUGUAGUAACUAAUGCUGGUCGCCAGUGCAAUCUCCUUGCGCCCUGAUAUCCGCGGUCUACGUAGCAUUGGCGUGCAGCGGAAGCUUCCCUAGCAACGUACAAGUGAUGAUGAGCACAGCGUAUGCCGCAGCAUGGGCAUACUGCCUGCCACCGGAAUGGACAGGCACGUCGCCUUCAGGAUGGCCUGGUCGCCGCCCAUCAACAGAUUGGAUAGGGCUCAUCUAAUGCUGAGGCGGCACAUCGCCUGCCAGUGGAGUAGACAAGGCUCAUUAAAUGCCGAGGCGGCACAUCGCCUGCCAGUGGAGUGGACAGGCGACGCGACUUAUCCGCAAUUAAUGCAGAGGCCACGCGGCCCAGAGGCCUUACAUCACGCUCCGCCUGUAGGCUUAUGUCACGGGCAGUGGGCCACGUGGCAGCAUCGGGUCUCCGCCUGAGUGGGGAGCAGAAGCGUACACGACAUGGUCCGGACACGUGUCGGCUCUGGACCCCCGUCUGGUCUUGAUUAAGGUCCGGGUAGUCUUUGUCCCAGAAUCCGGGGACCCUACCAUGAGUAGCCUGGACCCCACACAGAGGGGUCCGGGACCCAUACCGGGGGUCCGGUUCGUGCCCGUGGGGGUCCUGGACUUCACACGGAGGUCCAGUUCGUAUAUACAGGGGUCCGGUACUUCCCAUGGGGGUCCAGACCUACUGACGAUACCUUGGAGGAUAUCGUCUUCUUUGGCCACGUGGCGGCCCUGGAGCUGCCCGCGUGGUGGGGUCGGGCGCUGUUUGCCACGCGACUAGAGAUAGCCGCGUGGACUCCGCGCCUUCAUACUGUAGUAAGGGGUACCCCUGUUCCAGGGUACUGACAGUCUCCAAACCAAAGAUUUUAUGAUUAAGUUGGGACAACAUAGUAUAACGUCUAGAUAAAGUAUCAGCAAUCACAUUAUCCUUUCCUUUUUUAUGCUUAGUAAUGUAAGGAAAUGAUUCUAUGAAUUCAAUCCAUUUAGCAUGUCGUUUGUUUAGAUUAGAUUGUCCCUUAAGAUACUUCAAAGAUUCAUGAUCCGAAUGUAUGACAAAUUCUUUAGGCCAUAGAUAACGUUGCCAAGUUUGCAAAACUCGUACUAAAGCAUAUAAUUCUUUGUCAUAUGUAGAAUAAUUCAGAGUUGGAUCAUGAAAUUUUUCACUAAAGAAAGCAACAGGUUUACCUCCUUGAAUGAGCACUCCUCCAAUCCCAAUGCCGCUCGCAUCAUACUCGAGCUCGAAUGUCUUGUCAAAAUCAGGAAGUUGCAGCAGUGGUGCUUGUGUGAGCUUUGACUUGAGGGCAUCAAAAGCUUGUUGUUGUGAUGGUCCCCAACGAAACAUCACUCCAUUCUUUGUCAACUCAUGGAGAGGUGCUGCAAUGGUGCUGAAAUCCCGCACAAAUCGCAUGUAGAAUCCUGCAAGACCAAGAAAACUUCGAACCUGCAUGACCGUGGUUGGAAGUGGCCAGCUCGUGAUGGCAACAAUUUUUGUCUCAUCCAUCUCAAUGCCCUGCGAUGUCACAACAUAUCCAAGAAAAUACACACGAUCGGUGUUGAAGGUGCACUUCUCAAGGUUACCAAAUAAACGUGCAUCACGCAAAACAUCAAAAACAACACAUAAAUGUUCAAUAUGAUCAUCAUGAGACUUACUAUAGAUAAGAAUAUCAUCAAAAUAUACCACCACAAAUUUACCAAUGAAAGCACGUAAAACCUCGUUCAUCAAUCCCAUGAAAGUGCUAGGCGCAUUAGUUAACCCAAAAGGCAUGACUAACCACUCAUAAAGACCGAACCUAGUUUUAAAUGCAGUUUUCCAUUCAUCACCUAAAGACAUACGAAUCUGGUGGUAUCCACUACGCAAGUCAAUAUUAGAGAAAACAAUAGAACCACUUAAUUCAUCAAGCAUGUCAUCCAAUCUAGGAAUAGGAUAUCUAUACCGAAUUGUGAUGUUAUUAAUGGCUCUACAAUCAACACACAUGCGCCAAGUGCCAUCUUUCUUAGGAACCAAAAGAAUAGGAACAAAACAAGGACUAAGGCUCUCACGAAUGUACCUGCGGUCCAGAAGGUCCUGGACCUGGCGCUGAAUCUCCUUAGUCUCCUCGGGGUUGGUCCUGUAGGCAGCACGGUUGGGCAAGUUCGCCCCUGGAAUUAAAUCAAUCUUAUGCUCAAUGCCUCGCACAGGUGGUAAUCCAGGGGGUAUCUCAGAGGGAAACACAUCCAUAUACUCUCGCAAAAGGUUAGCAAUAGCCGGUGGCAAAGCAAUAGACGUAUCAUCAAUGGAAUAGAAAGCAUUUUUGCACACUAAGGCAUAGCAAAGUCCAACAAAGGCAUGUAACUCAUCAAGAUCAGAUUUAGUGGCUAGCAAAGUAGGAGUUUUUAACUUAAUAUGUUGCUGAUUUUUAGAGUUCAAAACACCUUUUUGCUUAGCAUUAGUCUUUUUCUCAUAUUCAAAGUGGACAAUUUCAGUGGGAGUCAUAGGAAGCAACACAAUUUUCUUUCCCUUAUGCAUGAAAGUAUAUUUAUUAGAUCUACCAUGGUGAAUAGCAUCAGUAUCAAACUCCCAAGGACGUCCCAGUAAAAGAGAGCAAGCAUACAUAGUCACCACAUCGAAAUCAGCAAAGUCAUGGUAAGAGCCAAUAGAAAAAUGCACCCUUGCUGUUUUUGUUACCUGGAACUUACCGCUGUCGUUAAACCAUUGAAUGUGAUAAGGGUGGGGAUGCUCUCGUGUGGUUAAGCCAAGCUUCUUGACCACCUCAACGUUCACCAAGUUGUUGCAGCUACCACCGUCAAUGAUGGUAUGUACACGACAGUUCUUGACGAUGAGGAACAUGUUGAAGAGGUUGUGGCACUGUCUGUUGUCGUCGUCACUAGCCAUGGCACUCAAAGCUCGUUGCACAAUCAAGGCCUUAUAGGUCUCGGUCGCUGUUGUACCAAGAACCUCUUCAUCACCAUCAUAAGUCUCUGCAAUGUUAGCUCCAACAGUAUCUUCAUCUUCAACAUCAGAAGCACUAACAUACCCACCAUCACCAGUAGCAAUGUAUGCCCGUUUGCUAGGGCAAUCUCGCUGAAUAUGGCCAAGUCCUUGGCAGCGGUGGCACUUGAUGUCAGAGGAGCAGCCUGUGGAAGAGGUGGUCGUAGCAGGUUUUGCUGCAACACCCGAAGGCACCAAGGACUUGCUCUUGUCGUGUCCCUAUGAUGCCGAAGGUGCGGUGCUGCGUGUGCCACUGGUGGCGGAAGAUGUGGACGUCUGUACGCUCGAAGAGGAUGACGCCUUGGUUGGCGCCGGUGGCUGGCGUGGCGCGAAAGUGCUGCUCCUCCGCUGUUGACGACCCUUUAAUUCUUUUUCUGCCAACAUAGAAAGAUGGAACAAGCGUUGUAUAGAAUGAUAUUCUUUAUAAUCAACAAUAUCCUGAAUCUCCCGCCUCAAUCCCCCAUAAAACCUAACCAUUUGAUCCUCCGGAUCCUCAACUACCCCACAUCGUAGCAUACCUUUCUGAAGCUCUUGGUAGUAUUCCUGUACCGACAUGUCUCCCUGAUCUAAGCGUUGCAAUUUUUUUUGAAGAUCACGUCUAUAAGAAGGGGGAACAAAGCGAGCUCGCAUCUCCUCUUUUAAUGCAUUCCAUGUUUGUGGUGCAGCACAUGUCUUAACAAGUUCAUUCCACCAAAUGAUAGCAAAAUCUCUAAAUUCACUAGUGGCUUGUCUAACCCUAUGCUGCUCAGGAACAAGAUGGGAAUUAAAUUUUUGUUCUACCGUCAUCUCCCAGUCUAAGUAAGCUUCAACAUUAUAAGAACCCAUGAACGGUGGAAUAGAGAACUUAAUCUUAGCAAAUGGAUCAUGGUAUGGUUCAGGAUUAUGAUGACGGCGUCUACCAUUACCUCCCAUACCUUGUCGAUUACGUGCGAGGCGUUGUUGCAGCGGUGCAUAAAGAUCGUCGUCAUCGUCCACAGGAGAGUGAGCUGGGGCUGGAGUUGGUGGUGGGGGACGAGCCUCCAGUACGUCCAUGCGUGUAACAAGUUCAGCAACUCGUCGAUCAAGCUGCUCAUAGGAUGUCGCCGCAGAGUCCUGGUAUUUUUUAAAAGCUUUAGUCAUCGCGCGCAUCAUCUCCUUCAAUUCCAGCUAAGAGACACACUCAUCAUCGUUAAGCUUAGGCCCCUUGUCCUUGUCCAUUUGAUUCUUUGGUCCUGUCAUUGUUAGCACAAAACAGAGAUAAAAAGGCAACAAACAAUGUGAACCCUACAACUAUCUCUCAGGGUGGUGGUGGUGGAAUACAAAUUAUGAAGCAUCUUACCCCGCUCUUACAAGGUUCUUACCAGCACUGCAGGUGGCAAACGGUGACCGGUGUGACUGUCCAACGAGCGUGGGUGUGAUUGCAAAGGAGUACCUGUUCUGCUCGAGAGAAAGCUGGAGCUCUAGGAAGGCUGACUAAAUAUAUAUAUGUGGCACACAAGUCAGUAACAGAUAGCAAUGCUGAAUAAGUCUUCCAAGUACUGGUCCUAGUUGCUGGCCUAGAAAAUGUAAUAGAACAGUUGGACCAAGGCACAAGAAAGGAGGUACAAGUAUCUAGGUGCAGCAAGAAAACAGGCUUGGGGCAAAAUAAUCACAGAGGUGCACAGAACACUGGCGUUUUUGUUUAUGUGCUACUCUUUUCUUCUUUUUCCUUUUUUUGCGAUUUUUUUUCAAAUAUUUUUUAUAUUUUUCUCUUUUGCAGCAGCACAUAAGAAGAAAACACACCAAGUUUCAGAUUUUUUUGUGCAAUGUCGCGUCCUUUGGAAUUUCUACAAGUUUGCCCUAAAAUCGGAAUAAAUGUUUGGAAAAUGAGAAGUCCUAUUUCCAAGCCGAAUUUGGGAAUUUUAAAAACAGCAAAUCUGGCGGAGCGGGAAAGAAUCGGAUGCGAAAUUUAAUUCUUUGCGAUUUGAAAAAAAUGGGCUCGAUUCGAGUUCCGAGGCGAAAGUUACAGCCGUUUUAAGUUUGGACUCCGAAUCAGGGUUUCUGGCGAGGUGUUGGAAGGGUGGGGGGUUCGGUUUUAUGGAUAGGGUCGGUUUUAGAGAUAGGAUAUAUUUUAUGGAUAGGGUCGGUUGUAGAUAUAAGAUCUAUUUUGUGGAUAGGGUCGGUUUUAGAGAUAUGAUUUGUUUUGUAGAUAGGGUCGGUUUUGUAGGAUGGAAGCGGAUGGACAGAAUCAAACUGAACCAAAACAAAUCUAAACCAGCCACCAAACUCAACCUAGAACACGAACUCAGAACUGCGGACUCUAAAACUGAAUUGUGCAAAGGCUAAGACAAUGGUUUAGGUCGGAAUAAACUGAUCAUGAUUAUUUUUUUGGCUUUUUGUGGACUAUGGGAUGAAACAAAAUUAAUCUAAAGGUAGGAUUAUACCUCACGGACAACCAGGAAAUCUGAUACCAAUUGAUAGAAGAUGCGACCUGAUCUUCCGUGAGAUACGAUAACUUGAUUGAGUGGAGAUCUCGACGUUGAUGAUCCAAGGCUCCGAGCGAACGGAUCCUCGCAAUCACUACACCACGGCUCUGUUGGUUAUCACCCGUGACACACGAGUGACAUCGCCACGAAGGCUUAUCCCUGCAAGCGCAAUCAAGAACACAAGCAAGAACAAGAAAGAAACGCAACCAAAAUUGUAUUGAUUACAGAAUGGUGUCUCAUAAACCGAUGACGACGACACUGUUCGAUGACAGAAUUGAUCUAAGCAAAACCGAAACCUAAUGUGGUGGUGGCUGCUGAAUAAAUAGAGUAUUAGGGUGUGCGCGACCCCCUAGACUCGCCCCUAAUGGGCUCCGACGCGAUACACGGCCCAAUGGCCCAACAGACAGUGUCGCAGCACCAAAACAGAAUCUGAAUGCUGAAUUGUUUCGACGAUUCUCGUUGAAUCCGGAUGAAUUUUAAGGUGGAACUAGUUGGGUUGGUUAGAUAAUCUCUUUAUCUUUCCAACCAUAUCAAGUUCGUCGCAAUCGGAGUCCGAAUGCAUCUUGGGCGUCUAUUUUAGUGCAGACUGGUCCUAGACCCCAAGAUGGAGUCGCAGCCGAGUCAGACUUGAUCUCCUUCCUGUUGUGGGUGCCCUUGCUGCUCCUCCUCAACACCUUGGUCUUUCCCAAGUCCUUGCUGGUUCUCUCCAAGGUUCCUAAUCAUCAAAACAUCAAUUGCCCCAAGCGUAAGCUCUGAAACACAAUUGACUAGGGUAGAACAUACCUGGAGAUUUAGUUGUCGUGCACGCGAUCGUGUUAUCGGUCCAUUCAUUGUAUGUAUAGAAGUGAUGUCCUCAUCAAACUUGCUCUUCAGAUGACACGUGUCCUCACUGCUAAACGUAGCAAUACAGACAAACAUGGUACAGGCAAAAUUAAUAUUACACCAAACAUAAUAAUAAACUGCGUAAUAAUAAUCUACGGGUUGCUAUGAGAUCGUGGCAACGAGAAUCGCUAAAUUCGGAGUUACGGUUAAGAAGUUAUGGUUUUCUGAAGAUCCACAUGGUUAAAUAUAGAAUAGACUAAGCGUAAUAUUUUAACCUAUAUUUCAUGACAAAACAAAGUUGUCAGAUGAUAAUAAAUAUUAUUGUGAGACUAAUGCAACUAGAAUAGAUCAAAAAGGAGGUACUAUUAUUGAGUUACAAAUUUCUAAAGAUUUAAUAGUGGUGUAUAAAAGGAAUUAAGUACAAAAUUUCAGUUUAGGUUUCAUAACAAAAUAAAGUUACUGGAUGAUAAACAAUAUUAUUACAAGUCUAAUGCAACUGGAAUGAAUUAAUUUGGAGUUAAAAUGGUUUUAAUACGAAUUAAACAAGUUUCUUGAUUUAUUUUUAAACUAAAAAUCAUUUUCUGAAUUAUUCUAUCCCUUUUAUUCAACACCUGGGCUGCGGACACAAUUUCCGGAAAGCACAGGGUGCACUUUAUAAAAACCAGGGGCCUAUACCGAAUUACUUAACAUGGAAAGGGUUGGCGGGUUGAUAAGUCAAAAGGGCGAGGGUUCUUUUAGAAAACGACCACGACUGUUAUAAUGCGCGGGCAACCAGAGUCAUCCAGAUCGAAUCCAAUGGUCACAAUACAACGCGCGAAGGGGUACGCUUGAUUAAAUCAUGGCCCCCAUCUGUGAGUCGACGGUUCUGAUCUAUCAGAUUGAAGCGGUAUCCCUAGGGGUAAUCUGAGCCGUCCAUCAGUCGACCAACGACUCCUGUUUUCCCCACCAAUCUACACAAGGACGCGGCGGCGCCGGUCACCAGGGCGGCGGCGCCAUUGCCGGCAUGCCACCACCCCACACCCCAGUAUCCCAAACUUCAACCCAGCGCGUGCUACACAUAGAGGAGGUCAAGGCGAACCUAGAGGAGUAUUUCUUACUAGCAAUGGUGUAGUGGAGAUCUCGAGCCACAGUGAGGUGCGGUUUUUCCAACGUGCGUGACGACGGCGAACAAUCCGCCGACCACCAGGGUCUCUCCAGGCUAGAUGCCGCCAUAUCCGAGUCCCGAAGAUCACGACAAAGCUCCCAAGGCCGAGUUUGCGCACCGAACAGCAACAGGGACACAGUCCCAUGGCGGCGGCGUCUGGUUCUCCUUCUCUGCUCCGGACCGUGGUGGAGCCCGUGCUUGCUUCUCGUUUCUCUCUCGGUUUCCGUUUAUGGCGCCUGGCUCGCGUUCUUAUAGCCUUGCAAAGUUGGUCCCAUGCCGCUAGCAACAAACUCCGGAUUCCAUGGAACAAGGGGCGGCGUGGCAUGCACGGCGAAGACCGGUAGAGGGGAUAGAGCUGAUGAGGGUGGCCCACCAGUAAUUGAACGCAAGUAUGGCACAAGAGGCUGGCGAGCGGGACCCACACGUUGGUGUCCCCGCGUGUGGAGGGCGCACUGGGCUGAGGGGAAGUGGGCCGCGCGGAGGGGGGAAAUAGGAGAGGAAUGGACCGGCAGAUGGGAAUGUUGGCCCAGCUACGGGUACAACCAUAUUUCUUUUUUUUUCAUGAUUUCAUAUUUCAAUCCUAAUUUCAAAUCAGGUUUUUAAAUUCCAAUUUCUAAUUAAAUGUAAAUAGAGUUCAAGCUUAAAACAAAUUAUGUGCACAGACAAAACUCCAAUAUGAAUUCAAAAGUAUAAUUUUUGUUAUUUAUUAUCCCUUUUAGCAAUUGUUCUCAACAUACAAGCCAUAAAGAUUAUUUUUAGGAGAAAUAAAUUCUAAUGUGUAACCUUCAUUAAAAGGUGGUUUUACUUACCCUCCUUAAGAAUAUCCCUCAACCAUAUUAGUAAAAAAAUAAUCUAAUUCAUAUGAAGAUAUUUCCACUUUCUUUGAUUUCUUUAUUUAUUUAUUUUCUAUUUGCAUAAACUAAUGUCAUUAGUUAAGUAUGAAAGAAGGAAUCAAGAAAUCCCUAAAACACUCAAUUAUUUAUUUAUUUAUUUAUUUUAUUAUUAUCUUUCUUUAUACCAAUUUUGGGCUUUACACAACCACUUAGUUUCUUUUCAAACUUUGCCUCUAUCAUUUUUCAAUCAGUAUUUCCUAACCUCUUGUUGUGCAUCGGGAUACCUAGAUAUUUAAACACGUACUCCUUUCUUACAGCCAAAAAUCUGUUGAUAUUGAUGUUCCUCCUCUACUGCCUUACGAAAACAGAAUAGCUCACUUUUAUGGUAAUUAAUUUUCAAACCGAAGACUUGCUCAAAGGCUACAAAAAGCGAUUUCAGAUUUGCUGCUUUCUCUAAAUCAUUAUCAAAAAACAACAAGGUGUCAUCUGCGUAUUGCAAAAUAGAGAGCCCUCCAUCUACUAAAUGUGGCACUAGACCGUCAACUUGACCAUCUGCUUUAGCUCUAUUAAUAAGAAUAGCAAGCAUAUCCACUACUACAUUAAAAAGAAUGGGAGAGAGCGGGUCUCCUUGCCUCAACCCAUUGUCCAAAUUUCCUGUUGCUAAAGCUUUGUUGUUAUCUUAUUUGUUGCUUUCCGUGGUAAGAUAUCGUGGGUUCAUUCGUUUCUAAUACAGUGGCAUCCUUUGCUUUUCCUACCUUUUUGUUCACAUGUGGUUCUGACCGCGUACGCAGUCUUGGAGCAGUGGCUGGUGCUGUACGUAUCCGCUGAUACUUCGUCCUCGUUGACUCCAGUGUAAGUUUCCUCCGGCCGACUGAAACUUCCAGUUACCUACCGUAUUGACUAGUUCUCUCUCGUUGUCUAGCGUAGCACCUCACUGGUUCAGGACUGAAUGUUGCUGGCGACUUGGAAGACCGAACGCUUCGAUGUGCCUGCUAGGAGAAAUGCAAAGCUCGAGUUGCUGCAUUGUGACGUUGUGGCUCGAGAAAUGGCGCCCUUUUGGACAGUCAUCUCCAGUUGUGUUUGAUUUUACCGGGUCUUCUUUUUUUUCCCUGGCCAUACAUGGAUCUUAGUUGCGCAACGUUGGUCUGGGAUUGUGCACAAGUCAUCAUGGACGUUUGUGGCAAAAUUCUACUAGCAUGGAUAUCUGGACUCGGGUACUACUACGCAGACGGCAGACCUUGUUGUAUUGUAUCUUUGCUUCACAUCUCUGCCACACGUUCGAACUCCAGAGCCAGCAAAGCCUGCAUCUCUUCUCCUUCGUCAGGCAACCCUCUGCUGACCGGCACCGCCUGCAUAGUUUCAUCAUUCGUGUUAGAUGAACCUUCAUAUAUUUAGCCAGAUUGGAUAGCUGCGCGUCUAUGCACAAGCUGGUGCCGUUCUAGCUAGCCAGAUAAGAUAAUUUUGAGCGUAUUGAUGGAUACAGAUUAAUACCAUCAAAAUGGUUUUGUUUCAGUUUUUUGCAGCUUCUGGCCACUAAAAGCUGCUGCGAACUACGAAACACUUAGCUUUUUAGUUAGUUUCUAUAAAAUUCGUUUGUGUAAAAACCAUUCAAAAUCAACAUAAACAUAUAAUCGGUUGAGUCGUUGCAAUAGUAGAAAUCCGUCACUUUCUAAAUCUUGAGCCCUAUGAACAACUUUAUCUUUCUUCGCACGUAAUCCUAAUAAUAUCCAAAUUUUCUACGUAGCCAGAUUCUCAGAAAAACUAAUCAGAAAAAAACUGAACCAAACAGAGGUAGUGCGGGUGAUCCAAAAAUGAGAUAGUGCGGGUAACUAAUCGGGGGCAGAUUGUGAGCACCAUAGAUAUAACAAAGGCGAGCUACAGGAGCUUGCACCAAAAUCCCACACACGUUGGCGUGGAGAAUUGGGUUCACACCAUACUUAUCUCCAUCCAGGAUGAUCACUUCAUUUAAUAUUUUUUUCCUUGACUGCUCUCCACAUACUUGGCAUCUGCCUCAUGUAAUAGUUCAUCUUUCACAAUUUGGGAUGUGUCUCAAGGUAUGUAUACCAGUCCUUUUCUCAAUACAUGCAGUCAAUCCCAUUUAUACAGAAUUGUUGGCUAUAAUCUUGACACAUUCCUUUUGCUUCAGGGUUGGGAACUCCUAUACGGCGUGGAUUAAGCAAUAUAUCAUUAGUGCGGUGGUCACCCAGUGGAGAUUACCUUCUAGUUGCUAAAUUGUAUGGUCAAUGUUCACUUUUCGUUUUUAUUUCUUGUCGAUAAUAUUUCCAAAUAUUUAAAUUUCAUUUAUUGCUAGUGAUGGUACUUUUCACUUCUGGGAGACAAACACAUGGACUUCAGAACCCUGGUCUUCGUCUAAUGGAUAUGUGUCUGUAAGUGAUAUCUUAAGUCACAAAUACCUGCUUUUGGAACAUAUGACAUCAUUUUUUUUGCAUUGCAAUAUUCUGUUAUUGUUCUUAUGCUGGAGCACAAUUUUACAACAGUCCUUAGUUAAGAAGUGAGUACAAUACUCUAUUUGGCUACACAAAUAAUGUGCCCACUGGCCCUGUAAACCACAUAUAGUAGAUAGUUCUAAAAUUCUUCUCAAUUUUGCUUAGCUUUAUUGGGUUGCUGUCAGGGAGCAAAUUGGGACCCAGAAGGUCGAGUUGCAUUGUUAUCCUUUUCUAACUCGAUGACGCUUGGUUCAAUUCACUUCUCGUCGAAGCCACCAUCUUUAGGUAUAUAAAAGCAACCAAUCAAAUACUCUGUUGCUAAAGCUUUGUUGUUAUCUUAUUUGUCUAAAUUCUGAUCGUUUGUUUUGUGCUCUUUAUAUCUUUCAGAUGCUCACCUCCUACCAGUUGAACUUCCAGAAAUUUCCUCCCUGAUUGUUAGGUAACAACAGAAGCAUUAAUGUGGCUUCUGAUCUCAUGCGCAUUUUAUACUACACAGUUUUCUCCUCCUGCACACUAAUUUUGGCUGUUGACCCUUUUUUUAACUAACCCCAUUCGCAAUGAACGGGGUAACUUAUUGCUGACGUAACUUUUGUGAAGGGACUCAGCUCAGGAGUUGUUAUUGAUUUACAUAGCAUAGGACCAUAGGUUUGUAGGGUUGUAAGGAAAGAAAAGCUCACAUGAAACAACCAAAAAGGCAUAAAAUCAUUUAAUUUCCUUAGAAUUCUGUCUUCAGAAUCCGCUGUCUGCUGUCGCGCACCACAUUCUUUCAUUCUGAAAUGCACUUUUUUUUUGGAAGUCCAUCCAUCCAUCCAUUAUAAUAACACAGAAUCUUACUUCCACUCAAUAAUGAUUAAUGAAUGCUUUGACUGGUUCGUAUAGCCGAGGCAUAGAGAAAUUAGCAUGGGACGCUUCAGGGGAACGUCUGGCACUGUCGUUCAGAGAUGGAAACGAAAUGUACCGUGGCCUGAUUGCGAUAUAUGACGUGCGGAGAUCUCCACUCGUCUCACUAUCACUAGUGUAAGAGCAGAUUCGUUUCUUUUACAGUAAAACUGUGCUCCAUUGUCUUUCGGUAAUCACCACUAAAUCCGUCGAAAUUGACGACUAGUGGGUUCAUCCGGGGACCUGGAGAAGGAGCAAAGCCGCUCGCCUUUGCUUUUCAUAGCAAGUUUAAGCAGGGGCCAUUGCUUUCCGUGGUAAGAUAUCGUGGGUUCAUUCGUUUCUAAUACAGUGGCAUCCUUUUUGUUCACAUGUGGUUCUGAUUCUGACCGCUUAUGCAGUGUUGGAGCAGUGGCUGGUGCUGUACGUAUCCGCUGAUACUUCGUCCUCGUUGAAUCCAGUGUAAGUUUCCUCCUGCCGACUGAAACUUCCAGUUACCUCACUGGUUCAGGACUGAAUGUUGCUGGCGACUUGGAAGACCGAACGCUUCGAUGUGCCUGCAGCUAGGAGAAAUGCAAAGCUCGAGUUGCUGCAUUGUGACGUUGUGGCUCGAGAAAUGGCGCCCUUUUGGACAGUCAUCUCCAGAUGUGUUUGAUUGGAUAUGUAUGUAUGCUUAUGCUGAUUUUACCGGGGUUUUUUUUCCCUCUGGCCAUACAUGGAUCGCCCUUUUGGACAGUCAUCUCCAGAUCGCCCACGCUAGUUUUUUUUAUUAUUUUAGAACUCCAGCAGGCAGAAGCAUGCCAUAUUGCCCCACGGGUUGAACCGAGGAGGCCUUCUCUCUACCACCAUCACCAGAUGCAAAAUCUGGGAUGGUCACUGCUGUCAAUUUUUUUUUUGAUAGCAAUAUGAAAACUUCAUUAACCUUCGCACAACAUUAAAUCGCUGGCGACCAAAUCUGAUACAAUGUCUGGAAAAUUAUACAACCAAAUCAACUCUUGACUAUCAGAACCAAUAGUAGCAAGAUGAUGUGCUACCUUGUUACAUAUUCUAGGAGCAAACAACACCUUAACAUCAUUGAAACAUGAUCUAUCUCAUAAACAUGUACAGGAGGGGCAACGGUGGUACACUUCACCCUCUCAUGGCGCCCCUGGGGGCGAUUGGCGCCGCCGCCGCCAGCCCUGGUCGCCCGCAUCCGGUUCGGGGGGUGCUCCGUCCUUUCUCCGCGGGCGGGGCUAGCGCUCCUCUCCGUGGUGGCCUCGGGUCGUCCCUCCACGCGGCGGACUCGGUGUCCGGUCCUCUGCCCAAACCUCUUCUAGAGCCGGUAAGUGCUGAGCGCUCGUUCUCUGGCGGGCAAACUCUGCGCAGUGAUGUGCCCCCCACGAGCGUUCAAGACCUUCUCCUCCUCGGUUCUCCUCAACCAGAUCCACAGCGGGCCGUUGCGGGCGGCAUUGAUCACAGGAGGAUUUCACUUUCAAGUUCCAGAUCUGAAAAGUGCUCUACGCCGGUGCUGCCUGAAGAUCCGCAUAGUCUGCUUUCGGCGCUGCGAAUCCAGGCGGCUGAAUCAUCCGACUGUGAUGCAGUCUGCUCGCCGUGUUUCCAGUUUACCUGCGUGGAGGAUGAGGCAUUGAAGUCGGGCAGCGUUCGGUCCCGUCGUCGUGCUACUGAUGACUCUGCUGCGCCGCGCGUGAGUGGAAUGCCUCUCCAUUCCGCUACCGGGGUCAACGAUGGGGGAUGGGAGGUUGUUCGGCCGCGGUUUUGGUGGCGCAAGGCAUUGAAGAAUCCUGUGAGAUCUCCACGAAAUCUUCAACUGGAUGUGAAGGGCACCAAUCUUUUCAAAUUGAAGCUCAAGGGUAAAUGCUACAACUGCCUCUCACCGGCUCAUCUCGCUUUCUGCUGCUCGGCUCCCACGCGCUGUUGGCAGUGCUUACAAUCCGGGCACAAGGCGCGAUAUUGCAACCAAAAAGUCAGCCAGAGAACAUUCAAUGCUGCUCAAUGCUUCCCUGAACCAGCCGUGCUCGCAUCUAAGAGUUCCACCUACCAGGAGGUGCUGCUAAAGCCAGACAAACUGCAUAAGUAUCAGGAUCUGCCUCAUGUGAACUCACUUGGUCAUCCGCCCCCAUCGACCAAAAAGUCCUACCUCCAGGCUGUUCUGGAAGACCACGGUAUGGAGGCACGCUACCCUGGUGACCCUCGUGUGAGGCCAGCGCGCGCCUUCUGUGCGGUCUCGGCGACCGGCUCUAUUCGUCGCCGGAGAGAUGAGUUGAUUGACACGGCCGUCGUCUGCUCCUUCGACGGCAACAGCCACGAGGUUGACAUUCUUUCCGCAGGUGAUAUGCUGAGGGAGAAGUUCAGCUUACAACACGGUCAGUAUCAACUGGUCAAGCAUUUCCCUGAGCAAUUCUUUAUCAUCUUCUCGGACCCUAGGUCGAAGCAGUGGGCGCUGGAUAGGAGAUCUGUCUCAUAUCGUGGUCGAAUUUUCCAUUUUGGGGAUUGGUCUGAGGACAGCUACGCUAGAAAAACAAACCUUGAAUUUAGAGUUAAAGUCCGGGUCGAAGGGAUCUCGGUGCACUGUUGGGGGGAAGAUGUGGCUUCAAAGGCCUUGGGCAAGAGUUGUGCAAUCCACUAUGUGCAAGAGCGCACAAGGCGUAGGGAGCGUACCAGGUCUUUUGACCUAUGGGCUUGGUGCUCUGACCCGUGUGACAUUCCUAAAGAGGUCUUGCUUACGGUUUUAGAACCAGACAGGGAACUUCCACCUAUCAGCACGCCCUUAGCUCUUGUUGGUGCUCAGCAAGAUGCCCCUGCUGAUCUGAAAGCUGGACAUGUUUACACUCUUCGCAACCACAUUGAGGUGGUGGAGGAUCUCUCUUUCCUCCGUGGGAGGGGUUCCAGGGGGGGUCCGCCUAAUCGCAAGCAGCGCAUGGAGUUUAUUUGGAGCUAUGGCGCCCCAGAUUCAGUGGGUGAAAAAAGAGAACGGGUGGAAGCUGUUAGAGGAAGAGAGAUUGCGCGACGGGACUGGGGUCAUGAUGAUGAUGAUGAUGGGGAUUUUCAGCGUAGCAGGCGCUGCGGCAACCGCCGUCAUCGCAGCUUGUCUGGUUGGGCGCGCUCGUCGCGAUGUCGAGGGGGCAUGGACGACUGUUACAGUUCCAAUGACAAGCAGCGGCACUUAACUCCCUUUCGUCGCCAUGGCUGGGAGUCGAAGCUGUCUUCUCGCUGGGUACCCAAGGUGAAGGUCCGAUCUGUUUCUUUUGCAGACCCCAUCGUUACCGCUGUUUGGCCGCAGGAGGAUAAAUGUGGGCAAGCUGAGGAUAUUGGUGACAGGUCUGGUUCGAUGGGCGCUGUUAUUCUGGAACCUGUGCGCAGCCCUGCUACAACCACAUGCAAGGUAAACAAUACUGUCGAUCUCUCUACUGUUUUCACCUCAAUCCACAAAAGUUUAGACAGAGUGCUGUCACAUUCCCCUAGAGUUAUCCCGCACAAACUGGGCACUGUGUUACCGGCCAGUACCCCAGCUGUCUCCACAAAUGAGGUUGCUGUUCACAAUCGUUUAGCCAGUGCACUGGUGGAUGGCUCUGGCGUGCUGAUGGGAGCUGCUCUACCGGCCAGCACGUCACCUGGGCUGCUAGCUGGUUUCUUAGAGCCUCAUUGCGUAGGGGAGGUUAAUGAUCCUGGUGUUGAUCAGGUUGGUAGGCUGGUUGCCUCACCCAUCCGCGAUUCAUCCGAUAAUAUCAGCCAAGAUUUAGAAAGUGCUGAGAAUUGCCUGACAGAUAAAUCUCAACUCCCAUCCUCGCUGAAAUCUUUUUCUUUUAAAAUUCAGAAGUGUUUUUCUCAACUACCAGAUACACAAUGGAUGACAGCAACUCUUAAAUCAUCAAACCAGCUGUUGUCUAUGGACUCUGAACAUGCUGUUUUUAAUAAUACUUCAGUCAUUCCGCGCAGUAACGCAAGUUUGCAACUGGUUGAGGCAGCAAGGGUGACAACAGCCCCUUUUAUUUCAAAUCAGAUGUUGAUUUUAGAAUCUCAUGAUCCUCAACACUCAGACUUUAUUAGCUCACCAGCCAUGCCACAUAGUUUAUUAAAUCCAGAAUUAGCCUCUGUUGAUCCAUCUUGCGGCAUUCCAGAUACCUCAACCAAGAGUCUAGAAGAUUUCAUUUUAUCUAUCUCUGAAGAUCCUGAACCACCUCUUAUUCGAUCUCAGCCUGGUAAUAGCCUAGUACCAAAGCUCAGGGCAGAGGGGGGUCUGUGCUGCCUGGUGGGGAUGUGGGGGUGGUCCCCUCUCCUAUCGGCAAGAGAUCUAGUGCUAGAUUGGCUGCAAAGAAAAAAUUGAAGAUUGGGAAAAAUAAAAAUGCCAUAGUUAAAGCUCAAGAAAUUCUAGUUGCUAAGUUAAACAAUUCUGCUUCAUCUCAGUUUCAGAAUUCAAAGACUUCUUUUUCUAAUGACCAGGUGGAUUUGGUUGAGCAGCUGGCGAGGCAUUUCUCUAGGCCUUUGACCAAGGAACAAAUGGAGGCAAUUAUGGAGCUGGCAACUCUGGGGAAGGAAAAGGAAGGGAUCAAGAAGAAGGGCAGCAAGGUGACGCCCCUCAAGGCUCCUAUUAUCGAGGCUUCUGAGAUGCUAUAAGUUGUAAUUUGAGUUGUGGGGGUAGUUCUAGUGCAUCAUGUUGUGUCGCUGGUGUACUUGCCUGUGGGUCGCCCAGGUUCUUUUGCUGGCUGUUUCGUGUGCCAGGUUGUUGCCUGGGCAGCGGUGUUUGUUUCUUUGGUUGGUAUUUUCGGUGUCUCUAUCUGUCUUAGUAUCUGUUGUAAGACGCUGGUCUUUUGCUUCUGGAAGCAAGUUACGGAUGGUGGAAUCCUGGUUGGCUCCUGUUCUUCUCUCCUAUCCUGUGUUCCCCAUGUGUGACAACUUUUUAAUUAGUGGAGCUGUUUUGGAUUAAUGAAUAUCAACUGUUGUAUUCUGUCCUGGAAUGUGAGGGGGCUAAAUGACCCUGCCAAAAGAGAAAGUGUGAAACAAUUGAUCCUAUCUUCUGGCGCAACUAUUGUUUGUCUUCAAGAAACAAAGAUUAUGAGCUGGACCUGUAACUUAUUAAAGGAAACUCUGGGGUGUAAGUUAGCAGCUCAGACGGCUCAUUUGCCAUCCCUUGGAGCCUCCGGUGGGAUUCUAAUCGCUUGCGAUGCGGAUUUUUUUGAGAUGGUUUCCAUUCCAUACCCUUCGGUAUAUUCGUUAUCGGUUAGGAUUUGCUCCCGCCUAUCCGAUGUGGCGUGGGACCUUACAGGAGUCUAUGGUCCUCAACCUGUGACCGAGAAAAUGUCUUUCUUAACAGAGCUGCGCAAUAUUCGAAAUUUGAUGAAGCCGGAAUGGUUGAUCCUAGGUGAUUUUAACAUGAUAAGGAGAGCAAGGGAGAAAAACAAAGGUCCAAUAAAUAGACGAGUGUUAAGACAAUUCAAUCACACUAUCGACUACCUUCAGCUUUUAGAGAUUGAUCUCAAUGGUAAAUUAUUCACCUGGUCAAACGAACAAGACGACCCUUCGAUGUCUAGAAUUGACAGAUUUUUGGCGACUACGGAGUGGCAUGAUAAGUUUCCUCAGGCCAAUCUGCAAGCUAUUGGGUCCAUGACCUCGGAUCAUUGCCCUCUAGUUAUGCAAGGUUGCUCGGAUUUUGGUUUCUACAGAGGAUUUCGUUUUGAGGUUUUUUGGACAAAAUUAGAUGGGUUCAGUGAGGUGGUUCAGCGAGCGUGGGCGUCUAGUGUUAGUUCCUCAGACGCCAUUCUUCGGCUGCAUGUGAAAAUGGCCCGUACGGCUAAAGCUCUAAAGACCUGGAGUCGAAAGACUGUUGGCAAUUUUAAAGUGCAACUAGCAAUCAUUCAGACUGUCCUUACCUUCCUUGAGAAAGCACAGGAAUCCAGACAGCUCUCUGGGGAUGAGCUUGAAUUCAGGAGAAGCCUUAAAUUGAAAAUCCUCGGAUUAGUGUCAGUUCAAAAGGCAAGAGCUAAGCAACAUUCAAGACUCGUUUGGAUGCGCCUGGGGGAUGCAAAUACAAAAUUUUUUCACUUAAUGGCAAAUAAUAGAAGGAGAAAAAACUUUAUCAGAUUGCUGGUUCGAGACGGCAGACUGCUCACUAGUCAGGAAGAUAAAGUACUCGAGGCCCAUAAUCAUUUCUCCCAAGUUAUUGGCACGACGGGUGCUAGACAAUGUGCUGUUCGUUGGGACAACUUAGGCUAUAGUCCUUUUGAGUUAUCAGAUCUGGACUCUGCGAUCAACGUUGAUGAGAUUAAAAAUGUGGUUAUGGGGAUGCACUCUGAAAAGGCGCCUGGUCCAGAUGGGUUCAUAGGGUUAUUCUAUAAGUGUUGCUUUGAGCUGAUUAAGGAUGAUCUAUACAAUGCUAUUCAUGAUUUCUAUAAUCAUAGAUGCAAAAGCCUGCAUCUUGUUAAUGAGGCAAAUAUCACGCUUUUGCAAAAGAGGGAAGGGGCUGACAGGAUUGACAUGUUUAGACCGAUCAGUCUCAUCAACAGUUUUAUGAAAAUCUUAACCAAGAUUUUAGCAAAUAGACUUGCGCCAAGAAUGAACGAGAUCGUCUCCACAGCCCAAAACGCUUUCAUUCAGAAACGUUCAAUUCAUGAUAAUUUCCUCUACGUUCAAAAAGUUGUUCAGAAACUCCAUAAGAGCAAACAGUCAGCGCUUUUUGUCAAGCUUGACAUCUCUAAAGCGUUUGACUCCGUCAACUGGGCAUAUCUGUUAGAGGUUUUAAGAGCCUUGGGUUUUUCUCAGAAGUGGAGGAAUUGGAUCGCCACAAUUUUGAGCUCUUCCUCCUCCAAAAUCCUUAUCAAUGGUCAACAAACAAAUGCAAUCAGGCACAUGCGUGGUGUUCGUCAAGGAGAUCCGCUAUCCCCGUUCCUGUUUAUUUUAGCUAUGGACCCGCUACAGAGGAUGAUUGAGAUGGCGGCAGAUGCUGGGGUUAUGGGGCGGGUUCUACCACGUGCGGCAAAGCUUCACUGUUCUCUUUAUGCUGAUGAUGCAGGAGUGUUUGUUAAAGCAGAUAAAGAGGAUUUGAAAGCUCUGAAAAGGAUCCUGGAAGUUUUUGAAGGAUGUUCUGGGCUGAAGAUCAAUUUUGAUAAAACUGAAAUUUUCCCAAUUCGUUAUCCCGAGACUCUUUGGCCAGAUCUGAUGGAGGUGUUUCCUGGCAAAUACUCAAAAUUUCCUGGGAAGUAUCUUGGACUGUCUCUUCAUUUCAGGACUGUUAGAAGAGUGGAUUUUCAACCUUUAAUUGAUAAAAUUACUAACAGGCUAACAGGAUGGAAAGGCAGGUUGCUCUCUAAGGCAGGCAGGGAAACUUUGGUUAAAGCGGUGCUUUCUGCUCAGCCUAUUUACCAUCUGACGAUUUUUCCGGCGCAAAAAUGGCUUCUUAAAAGAAUUGACAAAUUAAGAAGAAGCUUUCUUUGGAAAGGGAAUAGUCCAGGCUCUUGCAGAGGGGGUCAUUGCUUGAUUAAUUGGCCCACAACUUGUUUGCCAAAGAAUAGGGGGGGUCUAGGAGUUUUGGACCUGGAGCGUUUUGCGAGAGCGCUGAGACUAAGAUGGUUGUGGUUACGGUGGACGGUUAAAGAAAAGGCAUGGGCGGGCAUGCCAUUACCGUGCGACAAGGUGGAUGUAGAUCUUUUCAACGCUUCAACAAUUGUGACUAUUGGUAAUGGGAAGUUGGCGGAUUUUUGGGGUUCCAGUUGGAUUGAAGGGCAGGCUCCAAAGAAUAUGGCACCAAAUCUAUACAAAAAAGCAAGAAGGAAAAACAUCACGGUGUUCAAGGCUCUUCGAAAUAAUUACUGGAUACAGUUCUGUGCACCGUUCACUCGGGAUGAGGAAGUGAGAGAAUUCGUCUCACUUUGGCAUUCAAUCAGCAGCACUCACAGCCUCAACGAUCUCGACGACACCAUUUCUUGGAGAUGGUCGGCAGAUGGGAAAUACAGUUCAAGCAGUGCUUACAAAAUUCAGUUCUCAACAAUUUUCUGUAAAAUUAAUUUCAAUCCCAUUUGGAAAGCAAAAAUAGAACCUAAGUGUCGUUUCUUUGUUUGGACUUUAUUGCACAACAAAAUCUUAACCGCUGACAAUUUGCAAAAAAGGGGAUGGCCCUGCAAUCUUAAUUGUUCUCUUUGCAACUUGUCUUUGGAGACAGUGUCGCAUCUCUGUAAGGAUUGCCCUUUCGCUAUGGAAGUGUGGAGCAGGAUUUUGUCUUGGGCUAAUCUCCGGUUCCUUGUCGGGAUUUCAAAGACGGGAACUAUUAGCGAUUGGUGGUUCAGGCUGAGGUCGCUCUGUAACAAGCAUUCAAGAAAAAGUUUUGAUGGCCUUCUAUUUUAUUUCUGGUGGAGCUUAUGGUUGGAGAGAAACAACAUAAUUUUCAAGGGUCAACAGAGAACGUCAGAUCAAGUGGUGCAGAUGGUGAAAGAUCUUGUGGGUAGUGGUCUGGCAUACUAGUAAUGUCUGAGGGCCUGGCCAGAGGGUUAGAUUUUUAUUCAGUGGUGCUAGAUAGGUGUUUGAUUGUCUAGUGUUUUUUGGUGUUGGCGCCUUUUUUGUGCCAGUUUUUGUACAGUGUUUUCUCCUUAUUAUCUAAUAUAUUGGAAGGCAACUCUUUUGCCUCUCCCUUUCAAAAAAAAAACAUCAUUGAAACAUGACAAAAUCAGGAACUUAAGCUCCCUAAUAAUCAAUCCAUCAUGCGAAUCAUCCCAAUCAUUCGACGUGAGAGUAUCUCGAAGACACUUACAAUCUGUUUCAAUCUCAUUCGACGUGAGAGUAUCUCGAAGACACUUACAAUCUGUUUCAAUCUCCAGAGACCCGUGCAUUCGGCGGCACCACCAGAUCUGCGCAGUGGUCAAUAUCCAGAUUUGUUCGGUACACUAUUCAUUACUACGGCGUGUGUGUGAGCCUGUGACGGUGAGGUUGUGGUGUGGCGCAAUGCAUGAAGGAAUUAGGAACACAUUACACUCACUCGGUCCACUGGUCAGUGGUCACUGCCUUCCUGCAAAUACACAGCGCUGGCCGCCGUGCACCAGACCGGUAGAAAAACAAGCCAGAUACCCAUAUGCUGCGCCAGGCAACCCUCUGCUGACCUGCAUAUAGUUUCAUCAUUCGUGUUAGAUGAACCUGCAUAUAUUCAACCUCAUUGGAUGUGCUGCGCGUCUAUGCACUGCCGUUUGCAUAGACUGGUGCUGUUCUGACCGGCCAGAUACGAUAAUUUUGAGCGUAUUGGUGAAUACAGAUUAAUAGUAUCAAAAUAACCUAUUUUGCAUCCAUCCAUGCAAACUAUGACUCCCACAUACGAGUAACCAAAUAUAAUCUCAAACAAAAUCAACGUAUGCGGUGAUCCAAGAUGAGAUAGUGCGGGUAACUAAUUAGGCGGAUUGUGAACAACAUAGAUAUAUAACAAAGACGAGCUACAGGAGCUUGCACCAAAAUCCCAUACACGUUGGCGUCGAGAAUUGGGUUCACACCAUACUUAUCUCCAUCCAGGAUGAUCACUUCAUUUAAGCAUCUAGAGUUCAAAUACAAAGAUAAUAUCAUCCUUAUCUUUCAAGCAAAUACACAGCCCAUCUCAGGAAAGAAAAUGGGGGAAAAAAUAACUCCACAUGGUCGUUUCCAAGGAAAUACGUGGCCCGUGCCAUUAAAAGUACACUUCACACAAAAUCAACAGAAGAUAGUUUCGAGAAAAUAUAUGACAGCUUAUAAAAAUAGGGAUUGAUACAGAUAACACAUGAACUGCAUCACUUGGGUCCGUCUCCCUCUUCAAUGUGAUUUUAGACUAAGAACCGCGAAUCUAAUUAACAAGCCAUGCCAAUGCUUCUAAUCAUCUUGCUGAACAGGACCUCUCUCUUUGGUACUUAAGCAACUCACAUUUACCUGAAAUAUUGAUUUGUAUAUAUAGUAAAUAAGUUGUAAUGCAAAGGAUGGAGCAACCAUGUAAAGGAAAAAAUGCGAUCACAGAAUUUCUUCAAGCAAAGAGUAAUGAUACAAGUCUUUUUUUUGGCCAAUAAACAUGUCUAAUCCAAAACGAUUCAGUUUAGUAAAAGCACUUUUACAAGAUUAAAACAUGGGCUACCAUCCAGGUAUAUGAUAUAUUUCUUUCUUUUGCUGCUUUGAUUAGUUCCUUUCACUUAAAAUCAUCUUAGGACCUAUCAGACCACUUAACAUGUUAACAUUUAUUUUCUAAAAAGCAGCACGCUUUUUAUCAGGGUACCAUAAGGAAAUCGGUGUCAUUAGCAUAUGUGGUGCAUUUUAGUUGGUUAGCUAUUCAACGCAAGUAAUCUAUAAAUCAGCUUUUGUACCAAACCUUGAUGUCUACUAACUGAAAUGAGAACCAAAGUAGCUUAAAAAGUAUUUGGAAACUUUGUUUCAAAAGAAAAGAAAUAAACUACAUGAAGAAUAACACUGCUCCUGGUCCUGAUGGAUUUACAGUAAAAAAAAUAAGCCUUUGUGGCAUCUGAUAGGUGGUGACGUUAAGAAAAUGCUAUGCUAUGCAGGCAAGCUAGAACUAUGGAGUUAUUAUCCUAUUUCCUAAGAGCAAGCCAGCCACCUCUAUUAGACAAUAUAGGCCUAUUUGUUUACUGAAUGUGAUCUAUAACAUCCUUACUGAAGUGCUUAAUCUGAGGUUAACAGUUGCAGCAGAUCAAGUGAUAAGCAAAUACCAGACAACUUUUGCAAGAUGUUCUCCAUGAGUUAAGAGCUAUAAAGGUUUCUGGAAUUACUUUAAGGCUUGAGUUUUUAGAAGGCAAAUGAUAAGGUGAAUUGGAACUUUUUGGAGGAGGUACUUCAAAGAAAAUGUUUUUUUUCUAAUAUAUGGACAGGUUGGACCAGACAGGCAGUUCAGUGGGACACUAGCUAUUGAUUUGAGUGGUAAGAGAGGUGACUAUUUUAGAAGUUUUAAAGGUCUGAUGGAUCCUCUUUUCCCUUUAUUGUUCAACUUAGUGUCAAAUGCUUUAUCUGCCUUACUAGAGCUAGAAGAGGUUGUCCGCUAAAGGGCUUAAUUUCAGAGUUAGUUGAUGGACGUCUAACCCACUUGCAAUAUGAUGAUGAUACAACCAUUUUUUACAGAACUCAAAAGAUAACCUGAACAAUAUUAAGGCUGAUUUGGUGGACAGGGAUCAUGAUUGGAUCCAUAAGAAGGAAUCCCCUUGCUAUUCAAUUUUAAAUAGCAAGGGAAUUCCUCCCCCAUAGAUCCCCUUGUGAUCCCUAUCCCCCAAAUCAGCCCUUGAGUUAUUUUAUCUUGUUAUGAUGCAAUGUCGGGGAUGAAAAUCAACUUUGAGAAGUGUUAAGUUUCUGUUGUUGGGGCUGAGGAUCAGGAGAAAGAGAGGAUAGCUAAACUUCUUCAUUGCAAGGUGGAAAUUUUUCCUAUCAAAUAUUUGAAGAUUCCUAUGAGUGACUAAAGCACAGAAGAAAUAAGUAAGUGACAAGACUCAGAAGAGGUUGGGUACUUGGCAGUGUGGACAUCUAUCUUCUGGAAAGAAAUCUACUGUAAUUGAAUCCUGCCUGUCAAGCAUUCCUAUGAACACAGUGGGGGUCUAUCACUUGUAUGAGGAGAAUUUCUAGAUGCUAGACUCAAUCAGAUCUUUUUUUAUGGAACUGGCAAGAAAAGGAAGUAUCACAUGACAAGGUGGGAGGCCCUAAACAGACCCAAGGAGUUUGGAGGUUUAGGCUUCAUGGAGGUUAGAGCUAUGAUUGUCUGUCUCUUGGUGAAGUGGACAGACAAAUAAUGGAGGUUAUAAGCAAGAGUUGAAGAUGCAACAAUUGCAAGCGAAAAAUAAGCAGGUACUAAAACUUACACAUGGCAUUGGAACGUGAUAACUGGAUAGAGUAAUAAAAUUAAUUUUUCUGGUUAUCCUUUGGUUACUGAACUAGUUAGCUAUUUUUCUGGGUGCUGUUCUUUUUUUAGAGGUGUUGCUUAGGUGUUCUGUCGAGUGGUUGGUGGCUGGUUUGGCUAAAAUAGUUAGUUCCUAGUGGCCUCCUAGUAAAGCCGGGUGAAAGCCUUUAAUCUAGAAGAAGAAAACUGAGCGUAAAUCCGGUAACUGAAAACUCAUAGAGCGUCUACCAAAAAGCUAUAAGUGAUUAUGUUCUCAAAUGACAAUGCUUGAAAUUUUAAGAUGCAACAACUCCAAGAGAAAAAGAGAUGCUUGAAAUUUUAAGAUGCAACAACUCCAAGAGAAAAAGAGAACACAGCAAGAAACUGAAACUUACACAUGGCACUGAAACGUGAUAACUGGAUAGAGUAAUAAAAUUAAUUUGGAGUAUAGAUGGAUAUGCACACGUACCUACUGUUGGGUUGGAAGGAUUGGACAAACCGAGCCAUCAAUUCCUGGGCUGGAGUUUGGGAACGAAAAAUAAGCGUUGGUGGUAAGUUAUACCGUCAAAGCUAAGGUUUCCAUUAAUUACUGAAAAAAGAAAAUUCCAAGCAGCUAGGACGAACCUCUGUGUUGGGAUGGUCAGAUGAGGAGGAGGCCAUUCCGUCGGUGUUUGUUCUGAUAAGUUCGAUACUUGGAUGGUUCGGAUGAACCUCGGCUGCAUGUCUAUAAGCUGCUUCCACUUUCUGAACCUCACACAUGCUGGCACCCGAACAGUCGAUGAAAAUAAUGGCUUUCUGAAGAUGUCGAUACCUCCGCAGCUGGCUGAUGAAGAAAGCAUCAGAUUUAUCCUUCAUCGUGCGCACGCAGCAAUCCUUUUCAAUGUGUCGCUGAAGCUGAGAAUUGAAGUACACAAACAUAUUCAAAGAGAACAGCCUCACCAGAGCCUCCCGCUCUUCGUCGGAUAGGAUAUUUUGUUCAUAUACUCGAUCCAUUUUUAUGGUUGGACGGUUGGCAUGAUUUUCCACGGCACGCAUGACCACGGCCUCCACCUCCUCCACUUGUGUGACAGUAGCACCUGCACAGUUGACUUUGACCCUGACUUGCUGAAGUAAAAUGACGUUAUCCAGGUCGAAGUCAAGAUCUUCGAUCACAUCCUUCGUUGGGAACUGCUCGAACGGCACACAAACUCCAAAUCGCAGCACUUCAAGCCUUGGCAUGGCGCCCUUACGAAACUCGAACGUUGUGCCCACUUCGCAGAACCUUAGAUUCCUGAAGUCGUCUGGGCCAACAGUAUACCUUGGAGGCCAGCUGAAACCAAAUAGCAUGAGGUACUGGAGCUCUGGCAACCUCGCUAGAUUAUCUAGGUCCUGUGCUUCAACAGCGUGCACCAUCAGAUAUAAGGAGUAGAGGCGUGGCAGACAGGAGCGGUUGAUCCAUCGAGGCUGUCGUGAGAAGACGAUGCCUUCAAUAAUCAGGCGCCGGAGCUGCCUUGGUAGCUCCCAGUCUCCCCACAUAUCGCUUCCCCGCUCUGGCAUUUCAGAAAAAAGCACUAGUUCCUGGAGUAACCGCAGAUUGGACAGAGAUUGCACUAAUGCUUCUUGCGAGCUCUCCUCUAGCUGCUCUGAGAAGGUGAUUCUGACCACCCUCAACCUCGUCAGCUUGCCAAGCUCUGCCACUAGGUCUUGGGUGGCACUCCGGCCAACCACCCUAUGUAGUUGUAGCUCCUCCAGGGACGUUAGGUUCCCUAUCCUGUCAGCUGGCAACCUUUCGAACCCAUAGGCUAUCAGACACAUGAGCCGUGUAAGCGAGCAAACAGCCACUGGCAGCUCGUCUAGUCCAGUACUGACUAAUACCAGUGUCUGAAGAGACCUCAGAUGCCCAAUUUCUCUAGGGAGCUCAUCAAUAGUCGUGUCAAAUAUCUCUAGGAACUUGAGAUGCAACAGCUUCCCUAGAUGCUUUAGGCUGAUGGGUACGUAGUUGUUUUCUAUAUGCAGCACACGGCAAACCCUGAAGCUAUCAAUUGGGGCCAUAACCUCAAUAUUACAAUCUAUAAUGCUAAGUGAUCUCAACACCUCUGGCAUGUCCAUGGUUUCUUCAGGGAAGCGCUGCACACGUUGAUUUCGGACGGCCAGCCGACGUAGCUUGCAGUCUGACCGCAGAUUGAACAGAGAUUGCAGUGACUGAGAUGAAUGUUGCCCGCUAAGGGUAAUGAAGUCUUCAUCCUUGGACAACUUACAGAUGAGAUCAAACAUAAUGUCGUGAAUACAGAACCUUUCUACAAACCAAUGAUAUUUUUCCUCUAUCGGCUGGAUCAUGCUUCUAUUCACCAGCUCCUUGAAGUAUCUUUCUCCAACCUCAAAUAGGCUACCCUCCUCUUUCUCAAGAUGGACUAGACCUUCACCUAUCCACAUCCAUAUCACAGCUUUUGUAUCAAUGAAACAAUCUUCUGGAAAUAUGCUUAGUUGCAGCAGACAUGGCUUGAGAUAAGGAGGCAGAUCAUAGUAGCUGUAUAACAUUAUCUUUGUUGUAUUGUCUUCAUUCCCAAGACCAAUCUUGUCAUACACUUCUGGCCACUCCUCACGUGAUCUUUCAACCAACAAACUAGCUAUUGCAAUGAUAGCCAAUGGUAUGCCGCCACAUUUAUGUAUGAUUUUACUAGAGAGUUCACCAUCAAGGCUUUCUCCUUCCUGACUCUCUAUUCUUUUGUAGAACAAUUUCUCGGAGUUUUCAGUAGAAAGAGGUUUUAAUCUAUAAACCUCCUCUACUUUAGUGACAACCCCGGAAUUGCGAGUAGUCAUGAUUAUUCUACUUCCACAAUUAUUGUCCUUCAAGACAUAUCUGAUCGCUUCCCAUGAGUCAACAUCCCAUAUGUCAUCAACAACGAUCAAGUACCUAUAUAUAAUUG